UAGAUAUUAGAUAUUAGAUAUUAGAUAUUAUUAAUAUAUAUAUAUAUAUAUAUAUAUAGAAUUAGGCUGGAAUAUUAUCAAUAGCACCAAGUUAUUGGUGCUAUUAGUUUUUUAGCCCUUAGAUUAAGAAAUGUGCGGUUAGGAUGAUGUGAGCCCCUUAGGAUUGAGUGGAUGGUUGGUUGAAUAGUAUAAUCUAACGGGUAAAAAUAAUUAAAGGAGUUAAUCUAACGGCAGAAAACUUGAUAGCACUAAGUGUUUGGUGCUAUCGAUAGCAUAGCAGCCGAACUCUAUAGAACUAUAUAUAUAUAUAUAUAUAUAUAUAUAUAUAUAUAUAUAUAUAUAUAGAGAGAGAGAGAGAGAGAGAGAGAGAGAGAGAGAGAGNUUCCACUUUGUUUUCGAUGUUCGGGAUUUCGAAUCGACGAUCGGUACCGUUAGAGUUGAUCUAGAGUAUUUGAAGUACCUAGAAAAUAAAUUUUGUGAUUUUUCGAUAUCAUUUGCCUAGUGAUCGAAGGGGCUCAAAAUCAAUAAUCGGAGCCUUCCGUGCUUCCAGGUCGUUUUUUCAUGUUGCGACUUUCGAAUUGUCGAUCGGCUCCAUUAGACUUAAUCUAGAGUACUUGAAGUAUCUAGAAAAUAAAUUUUGUGAUUUUUCGAUAUUAUUUGCCUAGUGAACGAAGGGGCUCAAAAUCAACGGCUAAAAUUAAAAAUCUUACAAAACAUGAUAAUAUGACAUUAAAAUUUUAUAUCAAAGAUAUGAAUCUUGUUUUAUAUAGUAUAAAGAAUUUUCUAUCAAAAUUUCACGUAAUUUGGAUAUUUCUACACCGUUAAACUUGCAAACAGCUCACUACGACCAUUAAAAUUAUUGAUUUUGAGCCUCUUCGGUCACUAGGCAAAUGAUAUUGAAAAAUUAUAAAAUUUAUUUUCUUGGUACUUCAAAUACUCUAGAUCAAGUUUAAUUGAGCCGAUCGACGAUUCGAAAGUCGCAACAUCGAAAACGAUCUGGAAGCACGGAAGGUUCCAUACUUCCAGAAACAUAGUAGCCUCGCAUUAUAUAUAUAUAUAUAUAUAUAUAUAUAUAGAAUUGAGCUUCUAUGCUUUUAAAAGUACCUAAGUCAUUGAUGCUUGUAAGUUUUUAGCCCUUGGAUUAAUAGAUGUGCGGUUAGGAUGAUGUGGGCCCCCUUGGGUUAAGUGGGUGGUUUGUUGAAUAAUAUAAUCUAACGGAUGAAAAUGAUCAAAAUCGUAGAUCUAACGGUAAAAAAUUCACAAGCACAAAGUGCUUGGUGCUUUUACAAGCACCAUAGCCGGACUCUAUAUAUAUAUAUAUAUAUAUAUAUAAUGAGUGGUUAAGAUGAAAGGGAAAAGAGUAAUUGGAGAGAAAUUGGAUUUCUCAAUUUCUCUUCUCUUUGAAUUUCUCUUCAAUAUCUCUUCUCUCAUUCACCCUACCCAUCCAUCAAAUUUGAUGGGCGGUUAAGAACUUAGGAGUACAAAAACUGCUGUGCUCCUAAUAGCACAGUAGCCCUACUCUAUAUAUAUGUAUAAGUAUUAAUGAGCUGAUCAGAAUCUAUACGUGAGAUCGCUCCAAAUUUGGAACGACUUAGACCAAAUCGGGCCAAGUUUUAAAAUUAGCCCCAACAUUUUCUCAUGAAUUGGGCUGGGCUCGCCCAACGCUUUUAAGAGACCUUUACAAUGUGUAUCAUCUCUUAUGUACAACGUGUGAAUAUAAUGACGACACUAACCAUUUAUCACGUACAAUAUAUAAAUCUUAAAACUUGUAAUAGCUGUAUACAUUGGAGAUCAUACUACUGUUUAGUAAAUUGUUGUUUGAAUAAUAUAUAAUAUAUUAGAAGAAGAAUCGUAUAAUGAAUCAUCACCAUCAUAUUUGCUUGGGCCGGACUUGGGCCAGGUUUUCAUGUCGAGCUGAGGCCGGAUUUGGAUAUGUCCAAAUAGGCCUAAAAUUUUUUCGCGCCUAAAGUUUUAAAUCUGGUCCAAAUCUAAAGUUAUGAUUUCUACAACUAAAGCCCGGGCGUUGCACGAUCUUUUGGGCUGGGCCUUGUUUAGGGCCAGGCCCAGUUCCAACCUAAUCAUAUUUUGUGAAUAUGAUAUUUAUCUAAUAUGAUGUAUAGAAUAUAGGACAAAGAUGGAGUGUUGGAGUAUUUUUAUCAACCGGUCAUAUAGGCCAGAGGGUCGUAUAGGUCUGAGUCCUAGUUAGUAAAUUCGCAAAUUAUUCGUGAAUUAUUCACAAAUUAUUGAAAAUCCGAAUUAAACGGUCCGUUUACGAAUUUUUCCGAAGGAAAGGGAAUUAUUCGCGAAUUUUGGGGCCAGCCGAAUUAUUCGCGAAUUAUUGAUGAAAUAUUAAAAAUAUGAAUAAAAAACUUAUAAUUUUAUUUUUAAAUAUAAAUUAUUUUAUAUUUUAUAUCUUAUAUUUUAUAUUUUAUAUCGAAUCCGUUUUUUAAGCCCAAUUUUUCAACGAAUUUAAAAAUUAAAAAAUAAAUUUUAUACGUAUUAUAUUCAUACUGAAUUUUUACCGAAUCCAAAUUAACUAACUAUGGUCUGAAUAAGGAGAAUUUGUUUGGGACGCAACAAACUCCUUUAACACCGUUUACAGCUGCAAAGUAUUCUCAACGUGAAAAUAUAGAAAUACAGCAUCGAUUCUCGAAUAAGGAAAAAAAAAAAAAAGGAUCGGCAGGGUCCCAAAUAAAGUGACUUAUUUAGAAAAAAGUUUUCUCUUUAUAAAAUUUAUCUGGUGUUUAGUAUUGCAUAGUUCCAGCGUGGAAGAACAAUUUGAUAAUUUGCGGUGACAAGUGGAACAAUUCCGGAUGUUAUCUCGUGUCUGGUACAGGAAAAAUUUUAGAAUGCAACGGGUAUAUUGGUGACGUGGCAUAAUAAAUCAAUCAAAUAUCUCUCUUUAAAAAUAUGUCCCAUCAUGAUUAUAAAAAAGUAUUUUUAUCGUAUUUUUGUUUGAAAAGAAGAAAGGUGAUUGAUUUGUUAUUGAUGAUGUAGUGCAGGUGUGAUAGUGUAGAAUUCCUCCUGGUACAGAGCAGGGCCUCUUUAUGAUAAUGUGCAAUUAAUGUGCAAUUAAUUAAUUUACGUUACGCGCCCCAUGUAAUUUGAGGGCUUAUUUCAAUAUGUGCUGUAGUCCAGAGGAUUUUCAUAUAUUUUUAUCUUUUCUACAAAAUAUUAAUAGUAAUUAAAAAAAAAAUCUAUCAACCAACGCCCAAUCGACAAACUGUAAUAUACGGAACGGGAAACAAACGGCAUAUUUUUUUAUUAUUAUUUUUCAUCACAUGUAACGCAAUGUUCCCGCAAUCUCAAACGCAGCCUAACUACUUCGGUGAGAACAAGCGACCCAUCGCACCGAUUUAAUCAAACGGACACGAUUGAACGAUCACGGAAGUUGGGAUCACCGGGCAGUGACGGCACACGGCUACGCACCAAAUUUAACCGGGGUUUAUAAUAGCCACAGGUGACAACUCAUAGCUCCGGUUAGUUCCGUUAUUGUUAACUAACGGUGACGGAAAUAUUUUGCCUCCGCAACCGUCAAUUGCGGGUCCCACCCCCUCGUCUAUACAUAGCGAAAGGUUAUUCACUCUGACGUUCAGUUUCUCACGGAGCUCUUCGUGGGAUAUUUCUUUUUGACUCUCUCUCUCCCUCCGUUCUGGAAAGGUGUCUUUUUCGAUUCCAGUACCUUCGAAUCGAAGACGAUCAAUUCGAAGGCGAUCUCAUCGUGCACGCUUUGAUCUGAUCCACUUCCUUGCGUAUACAGUGGUAAUUUUUAUCUAACUGAUGCGAUCUCUAGGGUUUACGCUCGUUCUCAUCGACGCGACUGUGAUUUGUAGUGUUUGAUUUGGAUUCCGAUGUAGCUUGUAUGUUUUUGGGUGGAUUUGGUGUCCUUUUCGUGGAUAGGUAUCUGUUUAUUGGUGAUUUAACUGGUUAUUUGCAGAGAUUCCGCUCUGAAUAUCGGUUUGAUGUGUGAUCUUAGGGUUUUUUGGCUUGAUCUUUGUGAUUUAGUUAGUUGCGUCGUGUUUUAUUUGGAUACCGAUGUGGUUUGCAUGAUUUUUGGGUGGAUUUUUUGUCUUUUUCGUGGAUAGUUGUCUGUUUAUUAGUGAUUUAAUUAGUUUUGUGGAGAGAUUCAGAUCUGAAUAUCCGUUUGAUGUGUGAUAGUAGUUCUUUUGCUUGAUCUAUUUGUUUUGGUUAGUCGCGUCGUUUUGGGUGGAUUUUGUGUGCAUUUUCUGUGUUUGCUGGUGAUUUAGACUGGCUUUGUUGAGAGAAUUAGCUUCGAACAUUGGUUUGAUGUGAUUUUAGUUAUUUAGCUUCCGAUAUCUGUGUUUUAGUUACUGUUUGUUGCUUUUUAUGCGAUUAUGUUAGUUCGGCUGUAAUCCCAUGGUUGAUCAUUGUUUUCAGUGCUUUCCCUUUGGUACUGCUUUAAUUUAUUGAGCUAUUUGUGUACCCUAAGGUUUGCUUUACUCUUUGAUUUUGUGUCUAUGAUGUUUAUUUUUUGCGUUCCUGAUUGUGUUUGAUUUCGAGGUGCAGUGCCAUGGCUCACUAUUUGAAUGACGAUUUAGAAUUUGUUAAUGACGACUACUUUGAUUUUGUCGAGUUCGAUGAUGAAGGCUUCGAGAUUGACUAUGAAGAGGAAGGCCAUGAUGCCGACCUGGAUGGCCUUGGUAGUCCGGUAUGGCUUCAACCUGAUGUAUUUCUUAGCGAGUUAUUAUCGAUUUUCGGACCUUGCAAAGUUUCAUCUUGUUUCUGUAAUUGUUCAGAGUGCACAAAAGAAUGAUACAACGGCUUUUGAGUAUAGAAAUGGGAAAGAUAUGCAAGGGAUACUGUGGGAGGGGUUGAAUCAUACCAGGGAUGAGUAUCGUGAAAUGAGGCUGAAGCAGUAUAGGAAUUAUGAGAACCUUUCAAGACCACAUGAUUCAUUGCAGAAGGUUAGUGCAUCUAUGAGAGGUUACAAGGAUUUAAGUGCCGUGGCACGGGGUUGUGCCGGAAAUUUGCCGGCACGGUACGGCACGGUGCGUGCCAAGCCGUGCCGAUGCGUGCCGGUCAAAAAAUUUUUGUGUGCUGCCACAUAACAGCAUGAAAUAUUUAUUUUCUUUAGCAACAAAAUAUUCUAACUAUUUAUUAAGUCUUUUUAUCACAUCUUUUGAACUUUAUUGAGGAAAUUACUUAUUAAUUUAAAAAAUAGAGGGUUUUGAGCUGUGCCAUUGGCACGGGGUCUGUAUUGUACAGGUAUCUUGUUGGCACGGUACGGCAUGGUGGAUAUGGUCCGUGCCGACGGGCACUUAAAACCUUGAGAGGCUAUACUGUGCUUGACCCUGGCAUUGGUUGUUUGCUUGUUACUAAAUCUGCUAUUUCUCCUGCAUUUAGGAAUGCAAACAAGUUGAGAGGAAAAGCACAUUCUAUGAUUUUCAGUUCAAUACGAGGCUUGUGAAAUCGACCAUUGCGCACUUUCAGGUACUGAUCUUCUUCAGUUGCUUUUUCCAUUAUAUUUUUAAUGGAGCAUUGCUUUUGUUGCCUCUUUGGGUACCGACUAGCCUUGCUGGUAAUUGUCUAGGAAUUUUAUCGUUAUUUCACUAUUGAGCAUAUCUAAUUGUGAUUCACUGAUGGUUUUACCACCUCAUUAAGCUAAUCAGCAAUAGCUAUUUCCAUGCCUUUCUUACGUAACUUUACCAAUUACAUUCCCUCUCUGACAUAUAACACUCAAUACUUGAUAAAAAUUAGUCACAGAUGUAGAUUAGAAUAUUUGUGAAAUGUGCAUCGUAAUGUUUAAGGAUUAAGCAUUGUCCCCCUCCUUUUACAGUCAGAAAAAAAAAAGCCCUAGCUCUUGGGUAAAUCUUAAUUAAAUGGAUGUAAGACCAUGGCCUGUUAACAUUAGGCAUGUUCCAUGACUGACCUAUAUUCCCAGGAAAGAAGUACUUUUAGAGCACCAUAUCUACUAGGAUUGAGAUAAUUAUAUGGAUCUGCGACUGACUAACUAUUGAACAUAAAUCCUUUUUUUGGCCCCAAAACGACUCUAUUCUUUGUGCUAAGUCUUUCAGUUUUGCAGGUCCUCUUUAAUUGCUAUUAUUAGUACAUUUGAAUAUUAGAUAUAUUUAUGACAUAAUGAAGCUUUCAUAUCAUCAGACAUCAUUUUUGUUGCUAGGGAAGGUAAGCUACUCCCUAAUGCAAUAAUAAUUUUAUUUUAUUUUUUGUUUUCACAUAACUAGUAGUAGUGUUGAUUAACUUGUGCAGCAAGUAGAUAGCCAUUUUUCAUUUUGGUUAUUUGCUGGGGUGUGUGCAUGCUGAAGACACGUCUUCUUAAACUAAUAAACCAAACAAAUGCUAUUUAUUAUUGUUCCACUAACUUUUCAGUUUUGAACAGCUGGAUCUCAUGAGGUGUAAUAACAUCACUUGCUGAAAAGAUGUCAAUGUUAUAAUAUCUUCAGUAUAGAUGGCAAACUGCUCAAGAAGUAUUAGAAACUAUUUUAUUCUUUAUUUUCCUCAGAUGUUCUCUAUGAUUUCUAUGGUCUUCAAAGCUUGUUAUAUUAUUAUAGGCAUUAUUCUUCAGUAAACUUUUAAGUUGGCUCAUCCCCCCAUCCCCCCCGUUUGUGUGUCUCUUCUUUAGUUUUUCACUUUAGUUUUCAAUUUGUGCUUCUUUUUUUUUUCUUUUUUUUUUUUUUUUUUAAUCUUGUUUCUUUCCAUAAUCCAAUGGAUGCUGCCAUGUCUGAAUGUUGCCCACAUGUUCCCCCCCCAAUUCUUACUAUGCUUUUAAUUUAUUAAUUGGCAAUGAUACAGUUACCCACAUGUUUGCGCAACAAAUCUGCAUUUUCUCUACGUGCCUCUCUUAUUUCACAUUUUAGUAGAAUGUUAGUGAUAAGGGUGGACCUUCAUACGGGUGCCUCUUCCUUCAAGUUGUCAAGUGUCUUGUUUUUAUCUUUAAUUUUCCUGAAGUUUCAUUAUUAUUCUUUACUGCGUCCUUGAUAUGUGGGUAUUAUGUGCUGAAACAUAAUUACUGAGUGUAGACUCAUGUUCUCUCUUUGUUUUCAUUGCUUGCAGUUAUAGUGAUCGUGUUGUACUAGAUAGAUAGAUAGUUAUGUGAUUUGGCAAUUAACACAUCCUUUGAUACUAGGAGUGCAUCAUAUAACAUUUCUGUCAGGCACUAAAAGCAGGGUGGAAGUGCUUUCCCAGCAGCUGGCGUUAUGAGAGCACCUUUUCAAAAUGGUAUGAUAGGAUGUUCUAUGAUCAGUGAGCCUCUCUGUUAAAUAAGUGCCCAGUUUUUGUUAGCAAGCUUGGGCAUGAAAGGGGCUAACAAAAAUUUUCUUGCAGGAUUUUGUUCGUCAGGCAUUACAUAUGUUUUUGUUCUGAAAGUACAAAUAGGCUAUGCUUGUUUUCCAAUAAACUUGUUUAAUAUAUUAACUUAUUUGUCCCCUCUUUGAUGGCUGCUUUUUCUCAAAGUAGCUGUUUCUGUUUUUUCCUCUCUCUGUUAUUACUGUUAUUUCAUGUGUUGUACAGUGCCUUAUUUAUUGAUGUCAUUGUUGUUAACCGUGCUUUAAAUACUUCCAAAUAGAUGCUAAUUGAGGAAGGCCUAAGAAUGACUAGGGCGUAUGGAGUACCUAACUUAGUUUAAUACUGCACUUUGAUUGUGAUCUUCUACUUGCUUAUGUUGGAACUACAACUAGAAAACAUAACAGCAUCAUCUACAUGAGAUUAUAUCAGCAAUUAUAGAUGCUAGGGCAAGAAGUCAUCUAUGAGCUAUUCAUAACAUUUUCUUGGUGGACUUUCUUGUGCUCAAUGCUAUAUGUGUUAAGUUAUAUUUGCUAGUAUAUCUUCUUAUGGGACUGAGCUUCCAUUUCUUGUCCCACUAUCACAUCUUACAUUUGCUUGUAAAUUAUCUGAGCGAAGCAGAAUUUGUGUUUCUUUCUAAACGACGACAUACUUAGGAUGCAUCGUUUUGUAGUUUCGUUUAUAUAAAUUUUACCAGACUAGCAAAAUAUACUGCAAACAUAUUUAUAACAAAGCUGGGUUUGAGUGGCUUCUGCCUGGGGGUGGAUCUGUACUCAGUUGUGUUGAUCAAACAGAUCGAAGUUUGGUGAUAAUUUUGCUUGAAGCUUUAUCUCUGAGUGUAUUCAAGUUCAGUUAUGCGUCUUCUGCAUGUUCACUUUCUGUAGUGACCAAGGCCCUUGAUGAGCCUUAGAGGUGUUAAGUUUGGCUAUAGAGCUUCUGAAGGAAGGUCACAAAAGGUUCACGAACCAGUCUGCAAUACUCAGUGCAUAUUGGAAAACAUUACAUGUUGUACUAUAAAAUCGUUUUUCUCUUGGAUCUAACAGUUUUAUUCUCUGCUAAAAUGGAGAAUAAGAUUAUCUAUCUAUUAAGACAAGAAGUAAAAUAUCACGUGGAGCUAAGCUUUUAGUGCAUUCCUUGUCUUUAGUUUUGCACAUGGCACAUAAGAUUGCCCAUCAUAUGCAGGUGGGCUGCUUUCUGAUUUUAUCUGUCCCACACAGCUAAGAAAAUUAUGUGUUCAGACAUGAUAGGACCAGACUUUAUAGCAGGAACAGUGAGUGAUGACGAGUGCAUUAGAUUUGUGACUUUAGGGAGACCAUCAAUCUGACGCUGAAUUUAGGGAGAACAUCAAUGUGCGAUAUAAUGUGAUGACCAUGAAUGGCAGGAGAAAGAAAAAACUUCUUUCCUUUAGGUCAAUCAUAUGUUGCUAGUACUAUGAAGUGCUUUUUUUGCUGUAACCACAAGAUGAAUAUUGCCUUAUGCAUAUCAUUGUCUCCGAUGGCUAUAAGCAAGAGUUUGUAUUAUUUGCAGCUGAGGAACCUAUUGUGGGCUACAUCGAAGCAUGAUGUCUACAUGAUGCAGAAUUAUUCUAUCAUGCACUGGUCUUCGUUGCUUCGAAGAAGCAAAGAAGUGUUGAAUGUUGCUGGUCAAAUUGUCCCUACUCAGGUUUGCAACUAUUUGCUUUCUGAAAGCUUGAUACUAAUUACUUCAUCUCUUGAUCAACCUAGCGGUUCUUUACAGAAGCCUCGCGGGUCUUCUGCCCAAUCGUUAUCAAGGGUGCAGAUCAGUACAAUGGCCGUGAAAGACAAUUUCAUUGUGGCUGGUGGAUUCCAUGGUGAACUCAUCUGUAAGGUAUAUAAUUAGUAAUAGCUGUAGCAAGCAACUGGAAUGUUUUGCAUUAUGCUCUUGCGGAUCUCUCCAACUAUUGUCUCCAUCCUUCACCAGUAUAUUAAUCAACCUGGGGUGACCUUCUGCACUAAUGUAACGGACAGUGACAAUGCUAUCACCAAUGCGGUGGACAUUUACCAGCCUUCUAAGUAAGUCAUUUUCCGCACUAAUUAACUUGUUUCGAAGUUAUAUUAAACUUAGUUGCGAAAUGAUUAAACUUGUUUUUAACUUAUUAUUAUUAUUAUUUUUUACUCUGCUUGUCUUAGUGGCUCUAUGCGAGUGAUGACUGCCAACAAUGAUUGCCAUGUGAGGGUCUUUGACACUGAGAGAUAUGCCCUUUUGAAUCGUUUCUCCUUCCCCUGGUCUGUUAAUGUGAGUAUGUAGUUACUAGUAUCUUUGAGUUAUCAGAGUCCUUAAUUUGGUAUCUAACGUGAACCCUUUUGCAUCUUGCAGAAUGCAUCAUUUAGUCCCGAUGGCAAACUUUUUGCUGUUCUCGGAGAUACUACUGAUUGUCUAAUAGGCGAUCCUGUGUCUGGUAAAGUAAGUGAUCUUCCAUGUUAAACUUUUAGGACUCCUGCAAUAUAUCUCUGUGAAGUCACCAUUUUAUAUUCCUAUAGAUCCUUGAGAAUUAUGCAUCUCAAAGGUGCAUUAUCUUACCAAAAUUUUAUUUUAUUCAUGGGAAAGGUUGGUUUUUGCUACAAAACAUUCUGAGAGAGAGAGCGACUUUUGUAAGCAUGAGGGCAUAUAUCUGAGAAACCAAGUUUCUGAAUUGCAAAUAUGAAAAUUCAAAUCUACAGGACUUUAUACCACAAUAAACAAUUCAUAGGGGUACAUAUUUAGAUGUCUUUAAUCUGUUUAAUAUGGUUUCUUACUUAUUUUGGAACUCUAGGUGAUCGGAACCCUACAGGGUCAUUUAGAUUACUCUUUUGCAUCAGCUUGGCACCCAGAUGGCCGUAUUCUGGCCACGGGCAACCAAGACACUACAUGCCGCUUGUGGGAUAUAAGAAACUUAUCACAAUCCAUGGCCGUGCUCAAGGGGCGGAUGGGGGCGAUCAGAGGCCUGAAGUUCUCAUUGGACGGCAGGUUCAUGGCGAUGGCGGAGCCUGCAGAUUUUGUCCACAUAUAUGAAACUGCGGCUGAUUACAGCAGCGCCCAAGAGAUCGAUCUCUUCGGGGAGAUUGCUGGGAUAUCAUUCAGCCCGGAUGCGGAAUCUCUCUUUGUAGGGAUAGCCGACCGUACUUACGGGAGUUUACUUGAAUUCAGCCGGAGGCGUCGGUACGACUACCUGGAAUCCUUUCUAUGAAGGAUGAAGGGGGUGACGUCUGAUGCUCAAAAGCGGCAGUUGUUAGUAUUGUUUAUAUUAGUUGGGGGAUUUCCUUUCAGUCUCUGAUAGAUCGUGCAUUCGACUGGGAUGGAGAAACUUCUAUCGGAAACACCAGAGUUGCCAUAGGGAUGCUUCCAUUGGAGAUUGGGCUAAAGAUUCAUUCGGCGAAUGUGAACUUGUUUCCAAAGUUGCUUAGGGGAAGCCCUUAUUUAUAACUGGUUUUUACUCAGUUUGUUUAUUUAGAAUUGGUUUUUGCUCAGUUUGUUACAGUUAAGGGGGUUUUGCACUGUUGUUCGGUGGCAAGGGAAAUUCCUUUGUAAAUAAAAAUUCCAUCACUCCGUGCAGCACGCCAGGGUAUGUUUAUGUACUUGUUUUUGUUUUUCCUGUUGAAAAGAUGAGUUCUCUCCUUUCUUUUGUACAUAUUUAUCGUUUUACAUGAUGCUUCUCAUGGGGGACAUUCAUUUCUCACCGGUAUCUUCUCAGUCCCUAUGAUUGGCAGUGCACAUUUUAGUUGUGAGUGGAUAUUGCGGGCUAUUCAUUUCUUCUCUUUACUGAUCCCAACUUGUAAGCUGACAACCAUGGAACUCCAAGUCCCCAUUAAUUGCUGUUGAAAUGUUUGUCACGAGUUGUCGGGAAAGAAGGUAACCCGUGUUUUCGUGUAUGAAAAUUGCUGCCGCUGAAGAUUUGUGCUUGAAUAUAUUCGGAAUUCUCAAAUGUUUGCUAGUCUCUUUGUAGUAGAUUGCGAGGAACGGAACGGUCAGGUUAGGGCGUUUUUUUUCGCGCAUUACUUUGAUUGAUUUAUUUCCUUCUUAAUUGAAGAAAAUUUCCGGUGAUCCAAUAUAUGUUGGUUUAUGUCAUGCAGUGCGGAAUUGUUGAUUAAAGGCCUAGCCCGUUUAUUUAUUAUAGAAACUACAUUCAAGGAUCACAUUGCUUCUUCUAGUGUUGAUCGAGGAACGCAGACAGAAGCGCGACAUCCUCAUGGGCUCUGUUAAUGCUGUGCGCUCACGGUGUUCGAGCUCUAUAGGAAGUUAAUUACCAACAUCUCUGGGUUCGCAUCGUAACCAACAACAUGGUUAGGUCAACAAAACACACACACAUGCGCGCGCGCGCACAUCGCAGGAAUUUGAAUUUUAAAAAGAAAAAAGAAAGAAAAAGAAAAGGAAGCGUCUUACAUGUUGUGACAAAAAUGUAGCCAAUUAACGCAUUUGGUGAUGACAAAAAUGUAGCCAAUUAACGCAUUUGUUCCAUUUCCAAAGCCUUAAGCAAUCCAAAGACCUGCCUCCUUUUAAUCCUUUUCCUAACUCCUCAAAAUCCUUAACUCCUCGCAUAAGCUUUGAGGUGCAUAUCUUAGGUUUCUUUCACCUUUUCAUUAUCGGAUGGAUAUUCAUGAUAUGAUGCAUACCUUACGAUUUUCGACCUAAAACUUCUACUUUCAAAAGAAAAGGGGAAAGGAGAGCGAGAGAGAGAGAGAGAAAAUAUAAAAAAUAAAAAAUAAAAGCUUACUACUUAUAUAAGCCUGUGAGAUACUGUGAAUGGUUCCUAUAUAUUGUCGAAAAUUUUUGUUCCUUGUAACAAAGAAUGCUGUAAAGUGUCACAGUUCGUUGUCAUUAGGUGCUCACAUCAUGCGUUAGAUGGUAACUACAUACGGUUCCGGAGAGUGAAAAUCAAUGCCUAAUAUGUUAGAUGGUAACUAACAUACUGAUCAACCCUAGCAUAAGUGGCAAAGAGUUUGAUAAUUGGAAUUUGAGAUUUCAAAUUCAAAUUCUAAAUUAUUCAUAUUUUCAGUUAAAUUUAUUUUUAAAAUAAAAUAAAAGAAGCAUAUAGCAUGUUACCUUGUUAUUUAUUGUUGCUAGAAAAUAAGCUUCAUUUAUGUUACUUGUGGGCUUUGAAUUUGUUGAGGAGCCUAACUUGCAUCCUUGGGGGGAUCGAUCAACUGUCGAAGUCAUAAGAUUCUAUAGUUAGGUUCUGCAGAGUUGUAGCCCAAGUUUCAAAUAUUUCUAUUUACUGAAGCCUCUAGUAAAUAUUCUCGUAGCUAAAUUAAAGAACAGAAGCAAAUCGCGAGCCGAAACAAGCACCGAAAAAAGUAGGAUUUACUGGUCCUAACAAGAUAACAGUCAAGCACGAUAUACCUGUAAUCAUAAGAUAUGGACACGAUCAAUAAGAAAAGCACAAACAAUUUUGUGAACCAAAAAGAAGAAAGAUAGAAAAAAAAGAAAAAAAAGAAAAAAACAGAGGAAACAACCUCACUACAAGUGAUUCUCCAAUUUGGCAUUGCAAUAGGAAACAAUGCAUGCAUGUACUCUACUUUGAGAGGCAUAAGAUAAUAGCACAACACUAGUUAGUGCAUCUUCUUUGCAUACAAUAAUAACAAGAAAGAACCUUAAAAGCAAAGUCAUGUAAUCCAAAACUGGGGCAUUGGUUAAGAAGUGGAAGGGAAUAGUAUUUAAGUGGGCCAUGGAUCUAAAGUAACUGUUAGGAUUUGGUCGGUCCCGUUUCGCGGUAUAUUUAGGCUAAUGAUUCGAACAUUUCUAUGCUAUUUGGCCUAAUGCAAGGAGAGGAUACUAAUAAUUAGAGACCAAAGGGGGAUGCAAUAAAACAUUAAACAAGUUAGUGGAUUGGUUUAAGAAAAGAUUAACAAAAUAGUGGCCUAAUUAGUGGACGUGGGGAUUGUUCCAAUAAUAAUGUAUCUAAGACACUUUAUACGAAAUUGCAAAAAUUCUUAUGCCCUUUUUAUCCAACUUGGUGAUUCUUUGAGCAUAUUUCAGUUCUCAAGUUACUUACAUAUUGUUUGCAACAGUGAGUAUAUAAUUUUGAUUAUUUAGAUAAUGUAUAUUUUGUUUACCAAAUUAAUCUCCAUAUCUAAUAUAGGUUUUAUUUUGAAGAAAAUAUUUUCGAUAUCCGCGUAGUUGCUGAACAUUUUCCUUAGCAUUUGUUCCUAAGUUUUCUCAUAUUUUGUAAUUUUAUUCUUGACCCUUCAAAAAGAAGAAAAUCUAGUUUCUAGCUUACGAUGGCUACCACUUUUUCGGUCCUAGAGAUACGAGCUAUACAUAAUUUAGAAAGAUGCUCUCAAAAUAUUCCUAUAAAAAUUAAUCAAUAAUAAAUAAAAAAUAUCGUGUCCAACGAAAUCACAAACAAUUUAUUCUUGCUGCAUCUGUUCCGAUGUCGACCUUGCUGAGACCAACGACCACACAACUUUCGCUAUGAAUAAGAAAAUUAUAUAUCAAAAUAAGCAAAUCAAAUCGAUGCUUGUUCUAUGAUUUUCGCUAGUGCAUAGCAAAUCAACACUAAAAAAGAUCCCCAAAUACUUUUUUACCUUAUAUUAUUAUUAUUAUUAUCAUAUAAAUACUAAUUAAACAUAAUAAAGAAGUUAGGCCUAAGCAUAGGUUUCCCCUCAAUCCUCCACCUACUAGCCUACAUAUUGAAAAGAAGCUUCUUUUUAAUCCUACCUAACCAUUAAACAAAAAAAUGAUAAAAAAAAAUAAAAAAAAACAAAUGUAGCCUUUAAUGCUCAACACGUAUUAUUAGCAUAGGAGAAACACAAAGUAAUUAUUUUAAAUUAUUAAUGAAGUUGCAAAAAAAUUGAAUUCGUUGCCGACUUUAGUUUUGAUAUGAUACGACCGUUAAAGUCGGUUGCGAUCGACUCUCCCACGCGUUCUUCUUCUUUUUUUUUUUCCUUUUUCUUUUUCCUGCCCUUGCCCUUUUGUGGGGCCCACAUUUUUUUUUAUUAUUUGUAAAUUUCUCCAUCAGACGGUGGAAAUUUCGCCACGUGUUAGACAUUGUGUCGCGAAGUACACCGGCUACAUACGUGCCCUCAAGACUUGGAUCUACAAGACUCCAAAUCACGCCUGCGGGUGUUUGACCUGCUUCUCUCUUUCGUUUUUAAGUUACAGUUAUGAGUCCUACUUUUAAUAAUACUAAGCACUUAGAACGCAUUUGGUUCAAAGUCGAAAUCAGAAUUAGAAUUGAAAUCGAAAUAAGCUGGAAUCAGAAUGACUUAUUAUUUAAUUCUGUUUGGUUCGUUACCUGAAUUAGAAUCGGAAUAAAUCAUUUUUAUUGUCGGUGUUUGAUUCAGGUAGAUGUAAAAAACAUAAUCAAAUUAAUAUAUUAACUUAAUAUUCAUAAUAUAUUAAUUUAAAUUCAAAUUGAAAAUUAAAUAGUAAAAAUUUACAUCAAAAUUUCGAAAUAAUGUCAAAAUUUUAANGAUUGUUAUAGUAAGAAUUCUUAUUGGCAAAUUUAGUUACUUAUUCUCAAUAUUUCGCAUAUCUACAUUGUCUUUGCCCUCUAAGGUGAAGAAGUGGGUAAUGGUUACAAAGCUUAUGAGACUAGCAAGAAGAUGAACUUAAAUUUUUGAGAUGAUCAAAACAUUGGAGCUGAUUGAGACUAGCAAGAAGAUGAACUUAGGGCGUGUUUGGUUCAAAGUCGGAGUCGGAAUCGGAAUCGGAAUCAAAAUAAGUUGAAAUCGGAAUCGGAAUGACUCAUUACCUAAUUCUGUUUGGUUCAUCACCUGAAUCGGAAUCAAAAUAAAUCAUUCCCAUUGUCAGUGUUUGGUUCAGGUGGAUAUAAAAAAUGCAAUCAAAUUAAUAUACUAACAUUUUCUUUAUAAUAUAUUAAUUUAAAUUCAAAUUAAAAAUUAAAUAUUAAAAAUUUACAUCAAAUUUUGAAAUAAUAUCAAAAUUUUAAAUCUUUUUUUUUAAAAAAAAAUAAACUUUGAAGUUGCAUGGAUAAUUCAAAAUAUAAAACUAAAUUUUGAUUUAUUCAAAUUCAAACUUAAAAUAGUAGAUGUGAGGCCUCGUUACGGUUGAUGAACAAUACCCUAACUAACAUUCUAGUUGAUAAUUAGUUUGAUGCUUUUAGCAAUGACGCAUGGAAUUUGGAAGAGCAAAUGAGAAAGCGAAAAGUACCUUGUGAGCAUAAUUUGUGACUUAGAAAAUGAAAAUCAAAGAGAUAGGGGAAAAAGUAACCAUUGAUUGAGACUUUGAUUUGAUGAUCAGAGGAUCUACAUUGUACACAUUGAACUUGAUACAAAUUAUAGUGGCUUUUAUAUAUAGGAUGUUCUUGUGCAUGUGAAAUUACUAGGAAAAGAGAGGAGGUGGGGAAUAAAUGAAUAAUGGUCUUUAAUUACACUAUAUAUAUAUAUAUAGAACUAGAUUGGAAUACUAUUAAUAGUACCAAUAAUUUAGUGCUAUUAAGUUUUCUACCAUUGGAUUAAAAUAUGUGCGGUUAGGAUGAUAUGGACUCCCUAUGGUUGAGUGAGUGAAUACUAUUAAUAGCGCCAAUGAUUUAGUGCUAUUAAGUUUUCUACCAUUGGAUUAAAAUAUGUGCGGUUAGGAUGAUAUAGGCUCCCUAUGGUUGAGUGGAUGGUUAGUUGAAUAGUAUAAUUGAACCGAUGAAAAUGAUAAAAGAGAUAAAUCUAACGGCAGAAAAUUUGAUAGUACCGAAUGCUCCGUGCUAUCGAUAGUAUUCCAGCUGGAAUAUAUAUAUAUAUAUAUAUAUAUAUAUAUAUAUUCUCAAUUUGGUGGUUGUUAAUUUAAGGAACCUUCAAAAGAUGUCAAUUAAUUAGUGUUCCAAUUGCAAUUAAGUGGAAGGAGAUUUGUCUUAGUUGUGAAUGGAAUUGGUGACAUUAGUUAUUUUGGCAAUAGGUAGGGGCAAAUUAAUAUUGUUUAAAAUGUUUCGCACAAGUAGUGGAAAAGGUUAGGAAUUUUCAUUGAAUCAAACAUGUCAUUUGUCUCUUAUUAGCAUAAAAUUUUAGCGCGUGUCGACAUUGUACGUAAUUGCUCAAACAUUGUCUCCUAAUUAAACCUUCCUUCUCAACCGCGUUAGAAAUAUUCGAUCUAUUGAUUUUUUAAAAAAUGUAAAGAAUAUGUCAAAAAGAAUUAAUGGCGAUUAGGACAGAAGUAAUCUGGUUUGACAAGUACUAUCUGAAUAGCACUAUUAGAAAAGUACUACAAUACUAUAACAUGAAAUAUAUAUUUUUUUACUAGUUAUAAUAACAGCUGUAAUACGAAGCAAAAGUAAGAUCAAACUAAUUAAUGUAACAAUUUUCUUUUAUUUUUAAAAGUUUUCACCGUAUAUAUCAUGAAAACCUAGCAUUAUUUGCAGACACAAUUAAUUGCAACAAAUUAUAGAGGCAAAACACUGUCCUCUAGCUUCCUUUUUUUGUUUUUCUCAUUUUAUAAGAAAAAGAAGAAAAAUUAAAUGUUUGUGAAAGCACUUUUAUAAUAGAAGGUAGAGUUGUGCAUUGGUAGCUUUAAUUUCUCGUGACGUGUGUGGUUAGACGAAGACUUGGUGUUUGGACGGUGGACUCUGUAACAUGCAUGCAUGCACAUGCAACAUGUAAACCCUAGAGAGAGAGAGAGAGAGAGAGAGAGAGAGAGAGAGAGAGAGAGAGAGAGAGAGAGAGAGGGGACACCAUUUUUGUUGUCAAUUUCAUAUGUUUCCACAUAUAGAGUUUAGUAUUUGUGUGUGUGUGUGUAGUAGACGUGUUAUUUUUAGAUGGGAAAACCUUUAAUUGUCCUUAAUUAUGUUGUUUUAACGUAUUUUUAUUUUGUUGGUUUGUAGUUAAAAAGGUUUUAUAUUGCUAUCCUAUAAUUUUUUUAUUAUUAUUUUGUAUUAUUAAAAAUUUAUUUGAAUUCUAGAAGAGGUAGCAAGUAAAAACAAAUAUGAACAAAUUCAUAUGUUUAGCACAAAUGUAUGAACCGAGAUUCUUGUUGACUAUAAUAUAGUCCAUAUAUUUAAACUUUUUAGGAAUCAAAUUUUAUAUAUACUUUUUUGAUACAUCGCUAAUCGAAUGAUCAAAGGGUCAUAAAAUUUACAAUUUUAAUAGCCGGUACGAUGCGUUUACUUGUUUAACAGUAUAAAAUAGUCUAAAUCAGCUAAAUUUUUAUUAGAUUUUUUUUUUAACUAUUUAAAACAAGAUAUAUAUAGACCCUAGAUCUUGAACACAAAAACUAUAUUAUUGCUUUUUGAAGAAUAUUCAUUUUCAACCAUUCAAUUUAUGUCCACUUGAUGGACAAGAAAAUAAUAUCAGAAAAGUAUAAAAUUUGAUUUUAUAUAUAUAUAUAUAUAUAUAUAUAUAUAUGUGUGUGCUGUGUGGGUGGUUGAAAAAAUAUUCGUAGGCGAUUUCUUUUUUUUAAAUACUUUUUGGUUUCCUAUUUCAUAGGAAGUUUAAUUAAUUUCUGAAAUAUAAACUUGUUAACUUCUAAAAUAAUUUCUUCUAAAAUUCAAAUAAACCCAUGUAAGAGAGAGAGAGAGAGAGAGAGAGAGAGAGAGAGAGAGAACUCUAAAAGGAAAAAGUAUAAAGGAUCUAAGGUACUUUCGCAAACUAUUUUCAAUUUACAAUUUUUUUUUUUUUUCUGUAGUUCUUACAAUUAGAAUAAUUUUUUUACUUUAAAUAAAUUGGUUGGCAUAUAUAUAUAUAAAAUAAAAAAUUUAUCGAAUCUCUCUUCAAUAUACUCGAGAAAGGGUUGGAGAAAAGGGUUAACAAAUGAGGUGCGAGGUAACUUCUUCUUUGACCUCUUGUGUGUGUCAUGUUGUUUCGAGUCGUUUUAGUCAAAGUCAUAGCUACUUAAACUUUGACUUUAAUCACCCUACACAAAAUGUAAAUUAAACUUACAUCUAGCUACUUUAUUUUGACCCCUCUAAUUAAUUAUUUGGAUGUAAAUUAAACUUACAUCUAGCUACUUCAUUUUGACCCCUCUAAUUAAUUAUUUGAAGUUGGAAAAGUAGAGCAUUAAUUGAUUAAUUGUUGAUAGUAAUCGAUCUAAUUUAACCAGUAACAAAGAAAUUAAACCUCAUUUCCAGUUCAUGCUAAUAAACUUGCACUAUUACAUAUAAAAUGUACUGAAUUUAUAAAUGUUAUUAGUUAAUACUUCUACAUUCAUUCUUUUCCUUAUGAUAUUUGUAUUCAAAUUGUUAGUGGAAAAAUAAAGAUUAUAUUCGUAUAAUUGAUUGUGGGAAAACCAUCAUUUUCCUCUACAAAUCGCGUGAGCACUCGUCGAGGGUUUAUUAAAAUAAUUUGAAAAUAUUUGAUCUAAUCGAGCCAUAGUGUAUAUAUAUAUCGAUCGAAGUCGAUGAACCACUUCGAUCUCGAAAUCGUAUGAUAUUCCUAUGACUAAGAAGCAUAAUAUUACAAUUAGCUAGGUGUAACAAAACAUGUAUCACCUAACUCUAACACUCGUGACAUAUUUAUUUUGUGCCUCUAACCAUAAAUAUAGUUGUUUCGAAGAUUAUAUAUUACGCACCAUGCACGAGCCUUGAAACUAAAAAAAAAAAAAGGAAAUGGAAAUUAAUUACGAGCACACGCAAGCAAUGACAAAUGAUAUUUUGAAAUCAUGCAAAAUAUAAAAUUUCCAUCAUGUUUGAGCCUUCACAAACUCUCUCUCUCUCUCUCUCUCUCUCUCUCUCUCUCUCUAUAUAUAUAUAUAUAGAGAGAGAGAGAGAGAGAGAGAGUCCGGCUACUAUACUUUUAUGAGUACGAUCGCCCUUUUAUUCAUAAGUUGUUUUUGAUGAUAGAGGUUUUGAAUCGACGAUCCACACCGUUAAACGUUAUCUAGAGGCUUUAAAACGUCUAGAAAUUAAAUUUUAUAAUUUUUCGACAUAAUUUACCUUACAGGUCACAAAUUUGACAAUUUUUAACGGCCGGUAUGAGAUAUUUGCUCGUUUAGCGGUGUAAAAGAAUCGAAAUUGGUUGAAUUUUUGAUAGAAAAUUCUAUUAACUACAUAGAUAAAGAUUAAUAACUCCGAUCUUAAAUUGAAGGAUCCGAUCAUCUAUUUUUAAGACGUCGUUUGAUUUUAACCGUUCAUUUUAUACCUGCUUGAUGAACUUUAUUCUAAUUUCGAAAAAUUACAAAAUUUAUUUUCUAGAAGUUUUAAAUACUCUAGAUUAUAUUUAAUGGAAUGAAUCGUCAAUUCGAAAGCUCCAUCAUUGAAAAUAACUUAUGAGUAUGAAGAGUUCUAUACUCAUAAGAGUACAGUAGUCGUAGCCUCUCUCUCUCUCUCUCUCUCUCUCUCUAUAUAUAUAUAUAUAUAUAGUUGAGCUAGAAUACUAUCGAUAGUAAACGAACUGUUUUACUACAGAUUUGUUUUCAAUGAUAGAGCUUCCAAAUUGAUGAUCGGCUCCGUUAAAUAUGAUCUAAACCAUUUAAACUACCUAGUAAUCAAAUUUCACGCACUUUCGAUAUUGUUCUUUUAUCCAUCAAGUGAACAGAAAAAUGAAUGGCUGAAAGUGAAUAUUCUUUAAAAAUUGAUGAUAGGAGUCUUGUAAUCAAGAUCAAGAGUAUAAAUCUUGUUUUAAAUAGUUUAAAGAAUUUUCUAACAAAAAUUCAAUUGAUUUGGAUAUCUUUACGUCGUUAAACGAGAAAACGCCUCUUAUCGACUAUUAAAAUUACAAAUUUUGAAACCCUUUGAUCAUUAGGCAAAUGAUGUNNNNNNNNNNNNNNNNNNNNNNAUAUAUACGCGCGCGUGCGCGCUCUUUCCUUGUAAUUUACCAUGUUGAGGCAAAUGAAAUUUCUUGUAAGUUACAUGCUUGACUUAUAACUUAAUUAAUUGCAUACAUAUUUAUAUAUAUAAACAAGUAGGAGUAAUUUCAAAGACAUGUGAUCGAAACAACCAUCAUUAAUUCUGCGCACUCUUCUUCCUUCUAGAAGUUAAUUAAUUGUAUCGAAUGGUCGUGUAAUUAAUUUCCAGUAAAUCGAUCUACUAACUAACACAAAUAGAAUUACUUGCGCUUUGUGAAAAUUACACAUCAUGUACUCUUCAUUUUAAGCUACUAAUGCGAUCAAUUGGUCAAUUAAAUGAUCGAACCAAAUUAAUCAAGGUUUUUUUCUUUUUUUUGUUUGGUGUAUUUUGAAAAAGCCCACGUAGCCCACGGGUGCAUAUUUUUUUUUCUAGGGGCGGGCGUUUCUCACCUUACACUUUCCAUUGUAAUUUCUAUUUUAUUUUACUUUUUUGCAGAAGACACCUAAAACUAUUAUUAAAUUACCCAAAGGACCUGUAGUAAAAAAAAAAAAAAAGGAAAAACUUCAAAUACCACGAGGUGGUUUCGCACUUUCUCACUAUAGUACUCUAUGGUUUAAUAUUUCGUUAAAUUAUAUACAAAAAACUUCAUAUAUCUUACCUAAGUUUAUCGAAUAUUCAUUUUAGUACCUUUAGUUUUAACUUUGUCACUGAUCUAACAAAAAAACACUCCGAAAUGAAUAAUAAAAAGAAAUAAAAUGAAACAACAGAGUACUAACUUGAUACAAAAAUGAAACCAUAUAGUACUAACUUGAUGCACUUUAAAUCACAAGGGUACUAAAAUGAGGAAGUGCGGAACCACAGAAGAGGUUUUUGAAAUUUUCCCAAAAAAAAAAAAAAAAGAAUAGAGGAGGUUGGAAUGAGAAGCGAGCCACGGAUUCCGAGCAAUUUAUUAAUUAAUUAAUUUUGUGGGUGUUUUUGGGCGAAAUUGGGACGGGGAAUCUGUGGGUGAUGACGGGGCUACACGUGUGCGCCACCCCACGUGCCACUCACGGGACCCGCACGUGCUCGUCCUACUUCAACCCGUGUCUUAAAUAUUUCCUCCAUAAAAAAUUUUAAGUAAUAUUUAUUUUGCACCAUAUUUUCGCCUUAUUCUGUGUUAAUUAAUCCGUGAAUUAUUCGUGAAUCUAAAUUAAACAGUUUGUUUACGAAUUUUUUUUUUAAAGAAAAAAAAUUAUUUGUAAAUUUUUUAGCCAGUCGAAUAAUUUACGAAUUAUUAAAAAUUUGACUAAAAAUUUAUAAUUUUGAUGUUUAAAUAUAGAUUAUCUUAUAUUUUAUAUUUUACAUCGAAUCUAUUUUUUAAGUCGAAUUUUUUAACGAAUUUAAAAAUUGGAAAAUAAAUUUUAUGCGUAUUAUAUUUAUACCGAAUUUUUGCUGAAUCCAAACUAACUAACUACGGUCCUAGUUACAUCAUUUUGUCAGAGUUUUUUUACUAAUUUUAACGAUAUAUUAAGGCAACACAUUUGAAAUUUUAUUUAUAGUCCCUCAAGCACAACUUCAAAUAUUAGAAUUCUAAAGUUCUUAUAAAAAGAGUAUUCACAUGUGGGAAUUUAAAUAUUUAUAAAUUUCAAUUUGUAACACUUUCGUAAAAUAUUAACGAAAUCUCUAAAUUAUCCAAUUUGUUUGACACAAAACCAAAAUAUAAAUUUGACAUUGUAUAAUUUUAUUUUAAAGAGAAGUAUUUGAGAUAUUACAAAAAGUGCAAAGUAAAAUGGAAAAAUAUUAUUUGUACACUUCCAUAUGUGAUUUUUGACGUAUUACUACAAAUUAAAAAAGUGCUAUAAUUUGACGGUACACUAACAGGCAUAAUUAGGCGGAUUUUGUUUGUUUUAAGCACGUGAAAGUGCUAUAAUUUGUCGAUACACUAUAAUUUGUCGAUACACUAACAUGCAUAAUUAGUCUCCUUCGAGGUGACCUAAAGUAUUUUCGACUAAAUUUUUUGUAACAAUUUAUUAUUUUCUCUAUUUAACAAAGUAAUUAUGGCUACGAUUAAUUUUUAAAAAAUGAUCUUACGAGCGUAAAUGAUGGAUUAGCAUAUGCAAGUGACCGUUAUAUAUAACCGUUACACCGAAGCGUGCGCUCCAUCCUAGCCGUCCAAUCUCCGAAUCAGGAGAGAGCGAGCACAUCGGGCCCAUCCGAGCGUGUUCGCCUCUCCACGGUGGGCCCUUGGCCCAUAAAGUGGGGCCCAAUCCGUUCAAACUAAAGUGGGCCCCGAGCCUAAGCAUAUUUGUUCGUUUCGGUUCCUCGUUCCCCCAGUCCCUAUAUAAAUCCCCCACCUCCCAACUCCUACUCCCCACCACCAACUAAAACAGAGUACUCUGUUUCGAAAUUACUUAAUUCAAUAUCUUUUCUUAGCGACACUUAAAUAUUUGAUAAAAAAAGUGUCGAAAAUGACGAAUCAUAAUGUGUUCACUCCUAAGGACAUGCCUCUCGCCGCCGCUGCCGCAGUUGCUGCGAAUGCGACUCUGCACUACUCGUACCCCCCGCCGCGUAGCAUCGGCGGGGCCGCCGACUACGCCGGCUUCAAGAAGCUGUUGACACAGCUCGAGCACCGCAGCAACAGCGGUGGCAGCAGCGGCGGGUGGAUUGGGUCGUGGUUGGAUUCCAUGCGAGCGUCGUCGCCGACGCACGUCGCCUCCGCCGCCGCAGUUCUCACGUCGCCCUCUCUCAUGGCUCCUUGUACAGCAGAGUAUGAGGAGUGGAUGGUAUGUGUAAUUUCUAACGUUGCACAAAUUUUUUUUUAGCAAAUAAAGUUAGAUGACAAAAUAAAAAUUCUGUUAGUAUCAACAGUUUUAUCGGUUACAUGUCAAAAUCUACAUGUUUUCUGAAAAAAAAAAGGAAAAGAAAAAUUAUUGUAAUUUGCGAAAACUUUGCGCAGAAGCAGUGCCCAUCAGCAUCGAACAAGUUCGAGGAGAUCACCGCGAAAUCGAAGGGUAAAAAGAUCGUGAUGUUCCUCGACUACGACGGCACCUUAUCGCCGAUAGUCGACGAUCCGGAUCGCGCGUACAUGUCCGAAGCGGUGAGAGGAAGCGCGUUUUCCUGAAGCACUUUUGUAGCUUCCUCUGUUUUUUUCCUAAUACUCUGUUUUUUUAAAAGUAAUUUUAGAAAUAUUACGAGAGUAAAAUCGGAAUUUUGAUUCGCGGGUUCUUAUUGGUUUUAGAUGAGAGAGGCUGUGAGAGAUGUGGCGAAGUGUUUUCCCACAGCUAUUGUGAGUGGGAGGUGCAGAGACAAGGUGCAUUUCCAUUUUUACCCUUUUUACAGUGACAUGAGUCUUUUUUUUAAUUAAAAAAAAUAUAUCUAUAUUUAUACUAUAUAUAUAAAAGCACGUAUAUUUAAAUUUGGGUCUGUCGACAGACCCAUUUUUCGGCGAAAAAAUUAGCGCCUAUUUUUUUCUUUCCGUACGAAAAAUUUUAAACGUAAGAAUAAAAAUAGAAAUAGAAACCGCAAUGAAUAUGUAAGUUCUAGAUUAGAGAUGUGAAAAUCCUAAAAAAUAAAUUUUCUUAUUUAAUUUUAAAAGUAAGUUUUCUAUAACAGAUUAUGGGUGUGAAAAUUCUAUAAAAAAUAUUUUCCUAUUUUAUUUUAAAAUAUCUUUUUUAGAUAUUAUCUAUUUAAUUUCAAAAUAUAUUUUCUUUUUAAGAUAAAGGAUUUUAUUUUUCUAUUUAAUUUCAAAAAUUUAUUUCCUAACAGAUUUUAUUUUUCUAUUUAAUUUCAAAAGUAAUUUUUGCAUUAGAGAUUAUUGUUAAUUAUUUAUCAUUUAAAGCAUAUUUUUCUUAAUAGCGUGAUUUAUUAUUUUAAAUUUUUUAGAUACAUAUUUGGCAAUCAUAUAAAAUAUGGCCUAAAAUUAAAAAAUAAUUUAAAAAAAUUAUAACUUCUUCUAAUAAUUAUUACGUGCAUUUGCACAUACAUUUUACUAGUAUAUAUAUAUUUCUAUUGGUUAUUUGGCUAAUUAUUUAAUUUAAUUCAACUUUAAUUUUUGUUCAGGUGUUUAAUUUUGUGCGGUUAGCAGAGUUGUACUACGCAGGUAGCCAUGGGAUGGACAUCAGAGGGCCCACAAAAAGCCCCAAAAAUAUAAGAGAGGAGAAGGUGGGAUACAUACUCCCCAAAUGAUUGUGAUUUGUUAAUAAAAAAAAAAAUAAACUUUUGACUUUUUUGGAUUUUUUUUAUUUUUUUUUAUUAGUUACAUCUUAAAUUUUUUAUUAUUUUAAAUGGUUAAUUUCAGGCAAAAGCAAUUCUCUGCCAACCUGCAAGUGAAUUCCUUCCCAUGAUAGAAGAGGUGGAGAGUUUUUCUCCUUCGAAACUUCCUACGAAAUUUCAUGUUUGCUUAUUUUAUUUUAUUUUAUUUUAUUGUUUACUUUUGACUUUGUGCAUGUAAUGAUUUGUAUGUAUUAAAAAUUAUAUAUGGUGAUCUCUUUAUCUUCAAAAAAGCUUAUUAAAAAAGUGAUGUUUAAUUAUGUUACGUCCAAAUAUUUCCAUCCUAUAGCUAAUGUAGCCUCAAUUAAUCUCUUUUUUAAAAAAAUUUACUUUGUGCAUGUAAUGAUUUGUAUGUAUUUAUAUUUACUCAUGGUGAUCUCUUUAUCUUCAAAAAAGCUUAUUAAAAAAGUGAUGUUUAAUUAUGUUACGUCCAAAUAUUUCCAUCCUAUAGCUAAUGUAGCCUCAAUUAAUCUCUUUUUUAAAAAAAUUUACUUUACUUUUAUGAAGCUUAGCUAGUUUUUUGUGAAUCUAACAAAAUCAAUGUAUUGGCAACAAAAAAAAGAAAAAUCAUCUACCAUGAGUAAAUAUAAGUUUUCUUUUAUGUUUUGAGCUCAAUCCAACAAAGUACACCAUGCAUAGAAUAUAGUUUUUACAUUUUAGUUGCACCACUACAUGCAUGUCUACGUGUAUAUAUGUAUCUAACGUGUGAUAUUUCAUGGAUUGUGUUCUUAUCAAGGUUCACAAAGUAUUGGUGGAUAAAACCGGAUCGAUUCAGGGCGCCAGGGUCGAGAACAACAAGUUUUGUUUAUCAGUUCACUUCCGCUGCGUAGAUCAAAAGGUAGAUAUAUACAUCACCAAACUACUAGUGAACCUAAACAUGUUCUUUUGCAAUAAGUGGAAACAUUUUUUGUAAGAGCUACUUAUGAUUUCUUUGUAACUUUAUACUAGAAAUGGGACGCGCUAGCCGAGCAGGUUAAAUCGGUUUUAAAGGACUACCCGAAGCUUCGGCUUACGACAGGGCGAAAGGUGCGAGAAUACUUUUUAAUUUAUUGGCUAAAACCUAUACUAUCUAUAUAUAUAGUGUGUACUAGUAGUUCCAAGUUUAUAUUUAGUAUCAUGAAAAUGACUCUAUUGGUGUAAUGUUUUUUUCCGAGUUUUAGGUAUUGGAGAUUCGCCCAACUAUUAAGUGGGACAAAGGGAAGGCACUCGAGUUCUUGUUGGAGUCUCUAGGUGAGCCUAAACACACAUUGCACCACAUCAUUUUCACAUCAUUUUUAGUAUAUUAAAACAUGAUGUUUAGCUAAUCCUAUCAUUAGCUAUAUAUAUCGACCAAUAACCGCCUAAUUUCUCUUUGUUUAUAGGAUACGCCAACUUUAGUGAUGUAUUUCCGGUAUACAUCGGAGACGAUCGCACCGACGAGGAUGCUUUCAAAGUAUGUAUAUAUAUAUAUAUAUACAUCUUUCUUGGAACCUUUUUAUUUCUUAUAUAUGUUGAUGUAUACUUAUGGCCAAUAGAUAUCUAUUGUUAGGAACUUAUUGGUCGCUCGAUGUUUAUUUUAGGUUUUGCGUGAUCGAGGACAAGGUAUAGGUAUUCUUGUUUCCAAAGUUCCGAAGGACACUAGUGCCUCUUAUUCUCUUCAAGAUCCCGCGGAGGUAAACUAUAUUUGUAGCCAUUAUGUGAUGUACUUUUGCUAUAAAAGUUCACUAGCUAUGAUUCUAAUUUUCUUGCAUUGGAUGACUUUUAUAGGUGAUGAACUUUUUGCGCAACCUAGUGGAGUGGAAGCUUCGCUCGCUCGACGAUCGUGUGAAGGUGUAAAUAAGUCGUAACCAGCUCACCACCCCCGUGAAAUUUCUCAUAAUGGGAGUGUUAGAUGAGUAGUACUGUGUAUUUUGCGUACGAACGAGGAAAGUUACUAAGAUGGAGUUGUGUGUUCAAUUAUUUCUAUCCUUUGUUCUAUCUUUUUCCUUUCGAUUUCCUUUUUCUUGUAUAAUUGAUGGACUAAGCUUGGAAGGGUUUCUUGUUACGUACCUUUCUCAGUAGGUCAUGUAAGUAAUUUAUGUAAGGCGAAGGAAAAAACUAACAAUUUUUCUCCCUUAUUUCUAUCGUAGAUCAUAUAUAGAGUUUGUAUAUUUCAAUACAUGAUCGAUGUUAACAGUUUGCCUCUAUAUACUCUCACAAAGGGACUAAUUUGGGAAAUGGUCACUGUAUUUUUUUGAUGAAUAUUAUGCAUGUAAUUAAGCGAUCGGUUGCGCGAUCAUUUGAAUGUUUAUCUUGCGUGUUUGACAUGUUCAUGAGAUCUCAUGCAUGCAUGUAUAAUAAGUUCACUUUUGACUUCUAAUCAUGCAUGCGUAGGAUGUUAGAUUUUUCAUAUGAGAAAAUCUACAUCCUAACUUUUCCUUUAAAGCUACACAACAGUUGCUCACUCAGUAUCUGAUAAUUUACAGCAAAAACACAAUAACAUUAACAAGUUUCUCUUUUAAAUUGAGCCCAUUUUCUACAUCAAAUUCUUUGUUCUACAUGGAGAGAUUGGUUGUUCUCAGGGAAAAAAAAAGACCUCAUUAUUUCUCUUUGUGAUAGAUUUUGGAGUUAUUUUUAAGAUCUAUGGUUUCGACAUUUCGAAACUAGCUCGAAAUAAAUCUAAAGCCUAGCUACACUGCUUCCAUUUCUUCUGACAUUAGUUAAAUGAUCGAGGGAUCAUGUGCAUCUACAUGGCUAAGUCAUUAUCAACAGAAAGAGAUAGUGUCGGAUCAUUGGCGCUAAUCAUUAAUCCCAAAAGCUUGAGCUAUUAGAAAUACGCAACUAAUUCACUUAAAGCGUACAGAUACAGCGCCCAUAGGUAUCAAUUGUGACUUGGCCCAUCCGGCCUCACGCCACUUCGAACAUGACUCGGCCCAACCCAGCCUCACGCCAUAUCGAACAUGACUCGACCCACAUGGCCUCCCGCCACAGGGUAGGAUGCUGACCCAUUUAAGCCAACAAUCCCCCCUGCAGCACCUGCACACAUUUGCAGCAUGCGAAAAUCGAAUCCGUAACCUCUGGCUCUGAUCCUACUUGUCAGAUCACUGGCGCUAACUAUUAAUCCCAAAAGCUCGAGCUAUUAGAAAUACGCAACCAAUUCACUUAAAACGUACAGAUACAGCGCCCACAGGUAGCAAUUGUGACUUAGCCCACCCGGCCUCACGCCACUUCGAAAAUGACUCGGCCCAAUCCAGCCCACGCCAUUUCUAACAUGACUCGGCCCACAUGAUCUCUCGCUAUAGGGCAGGAUGUUGAUCCAUUUAAGCCAACAGAUAUAUAGGACUAAAAGAUCCAAAUGAAAUGCCGGUUUUUGCAACUUCUUUUCAACAAAUCAAGCUCGGGUUUGUCAACAAGCAACUUGUGAGCAUUAGUAACAUGUUUGAUUUAAAAUUUUUAUCAAUCAAAAUAAUGCACUGAGAUGAAAAUAAUCUAUGGCCUAAUUCUUUAAGCUAGGUACGUAGUCGUAAUUUGGCGCCGGCCUAUGCUAUGUUCUCCUCCAAAUCACUCCGUUGGAUCAAAAGCUAGCUUAAAUCAACCAAUAAGUAUAUAUUUUUUUUUUCAUGGUAAUCGAAAAAAAAAAGGUAUCAAUAUCACUAUCCUAUAUUAAUAUACGAGUACCUAUCCCCACAUAACAUUUCAUACUUCGAAGAAUAACUACAUUCAUCAAGCAUGAUGAUCUUUAGUAUAUAUUAAAUAUGUGGUAUAUAUACUUAGGGGCUUAAUUUUAGUUACCUCGUUACAAAGAUCUCACAUGAUGGUGCUCCAUUGCUAUUUUCCUCACACAAUGGUAUAAGCUUCUAAAACUUACCACCUGCUCAAUAUUAUUUAUUCAUUGUCCCCCCUCUUGGAAACAAAGUACUCUUAACUCUUUCUAGGAUAAAAAAUUGACCACAUACAUAUGUGCCUUAAAAAGUAUAAAUGCUUUUGUCCUUGAGAUCCUAACAUAUCAACAUGCAUGGGCAAUGAGCAAAGAUCCAUUCAAAUUAAUAGAGUAUGACUGUAUGAGUAGCUAGCAUAAUUGGUCACAACUAGAUAUCUAAUAUUCUUAAGGAAAAGAGAACAGUUCCCUUUGCUCCCAAAACCAUACAAAAGCUUAGUCCCCAUAAUUGUUUUUGUUACGACAAACGCACAAACGGAAAUAAAAUGGCGAAUACGAAACACUCAAAUCACAAGUAAAAAAUAAAGAUAACACACAAAGUUAUGUGAAAAAUCCUUUGCAGGAAAAACUACGGGCGAGGGAGGAGAGAACUUCACUAUCGAAACAAAAGGGAAUACAAUGUUCUUCAUAUUACAACCGACCACGAUCUCACACGCCCCUAGGGCAAAAAGCGAAAAGAAAACUCAUAACGGGCCCUCCGCUACUCACCACAGACAUUCAUUUUUCCUCCAUAAUUUUCUUUUCCAAUUUGGUCGCACCGCGAAGCUGUCGGCGAGUCAAAAAUCCGAACUUGAGUCGAUAAUCAAUUUUGAGUCACAUCUAACAGUUUUGAUUAAUCAACCCCACAUCAUGUACUCAAAACAUGCCCAUUCUCUUUUGUUUUUACCUUUUUUUUUUCUUUUCUUUUUUUUGUGUUGUUUGUUUUGCUUUUUGAUAUCUUUUGUGUUAGGCCAUGAAAGGAAACACACCAUACCUACCAGAUGUAAAGCAAAGCCAAAGCUGUGGGAGGAGUUGGAAAUCCACUUGAUUUUUGUUAAGUGGGGACUCUUUCUUCCUUUUGUCUUUGAGCCUCCAUGCCACCUCCUUCAUGCGUGGAAAGGGUUUUAAACUAAUGCCUUAGAGAGUCCAAAUCAUUGAAGUAAGUGUGCUUUUAUUCAACACAAACCAACUCAUCUCCAUUAAACAAAACUAAUUAAACAUCAUUUUAAGAUCCAUUAGUGGCUCAUUAUAUAUAUACAAUGAUUGAUGUGGGUUUGAUGAAUGGUUUAGUGGGAUUAUUAAUAGUAGUUUGGACAUGCUACCUAUGAAGUCUACAAAAGCUCACAUGGGGAGUUUUGAAACUAGGUUCACACAUAUAUUAGAGGAGUUAAUUAAGAGGGUGUGAGGGGUUGAUGAGUAACAAUGAGAACCACAAAUUUUUGAGGAUUCAUGGGUUUUUAUAAUUAGAACUUAGAAAAAGGUGCAUAUUUGGUGAGCAUGCAUGUUGUGGUCCUAAGGGCUAUGUGUUGCAUGGGAAUGGUGUGGCCGGUUUAUAGUGUGGUGCUUAAAGUGUUAACAAGGUCCACACUCCACACAAGAAAUUUUAUUUUUUUCCCCUCCCUCUCUCUGUCCUGUUUUGGUACAUGCAUUAAUUGAGAUGCAUGCAUGUGCAACGAGAGACCACCAACUUUAAUAGUGUUUAGUUGGAGAAUAGAGUGGCCACAUUAAUAGAUUAUUUCCACUAAUAUUUACUCGAAAUUAAUAAAAAAAUUUACAGGAUCGAUGUGUUUGAUUGAGACACACCUUUUUCAACCUUUGUAUAGCACUCGAUACGAAUCUUAAAGCAGCACUAAGUGCUAUCGAAGAUAGGAAAAUUAAUGUCGAAUAUUUCUAUUUGGACGAUCCCUUCAUCUAGAGAUAGCAAGUUCUCGAGAGGCUUAUAACUACAGUGAAACAUUUGGGCGGUUUCUAUACCAUAUUAAGUAUUUAAAUCUACUUGUCAAAUAAGUUUUUGAUCUAGUUUGAGGUAAGAUGAAACUGUAAAAUGUGGAGGGACCAAAUGCAGGUCCAGGGACGAAAUUGUAAUAUUUGGAAACUACGGGGACUAUCCGCACAUUUUUACCAGUAAGGCUAACCUAAACAUGGACCGGCCCAAAGUGUUCUGUGCUGGUCAUUGGCGAAGCCCAAUGGCUCAAUACAUCAAUGGCCCAAUACCUUUUGUAGGACCUUAAUGUUUUGGGCCGUCACGAGGAAAAAUUAAUCGAACCGGCCCAUUUAUUACGGCCCAAAUAUAUUCUACCAGCUCAACUAAUCUACUUUUUGUGAAAGAAAAGAUGCAAAUUUGAGAAUUUUUAAUUUAAUUUUAUGGUAUAAUAAGACAUAGUCUAUGGAUAUUUCAUACCCCAUAAAUCCAAACCCGCAAAGUAGCACAGCGCGAAUUUGAGUCUGAAACCUCGAGAUAACAGAGUGCGGUUUUUGCCUAUGCUAACGUGGAUUGGAUGAAACCAAAUAAAAAUUGUUAGGAGAGGAUUAAGAACUGGCCAAAUGCUAAUGUCCAAUGACUUCUCUAUGCAAACUUUGUUUGGAAGGGAAAAGCACAAAAGUGUAGUGGAUAUCACAAAGAUUGAUGCUUAUUAUGUUAACUUUGCCUCUUUUUUUGGUUUUUCCAUUCAUAACAUUACGCGGAAACUCCAAGAAAAUAACAGGAUAAUGAACAAUAAUAAAUAAUAAACAAGUGAUAAGAGGCCUUACUUUGGUUUCUCCUGUGCUUUUAAUUUGGUCUCUAAUGAGCCAUAGACCAAUUUUAUUUUAUACGUGAUGCUGUUGUGUUUUUUUUUUUUUUAAUCUUCUGUGACAUGAAUUUCGAAAUGCAAGAUAUGAUGUAGAGGGAGAGAGAGAGAGAGGACAUAGUUCACACACUCAAAAAAUUUACUAAAAAUACCAAUAUAAUUAUCUGAGGAAAAUUUUCAUAGGAUGAUUCCUCAUGGUAUUUGAUUAUAACUUAAUAAUCAGAAAAGUUUAUGACAUAAUUGGCUCCUCAUGAAUUUGUUUCCUCAAGAGGCUAUGGUGUUUUUUGUGAUCACAUAGUUAUGAGAAACUAAAAGCUAUUUGUGUGCAUGUAUGCAUAUUUAUUUGAUAUGGAGAUCAUUGGAUAUACCAAGGCUUAAACUAAACAAAGCAAGAAAAAAAACAAGGCCUCAUUAAUUAAGCUUAGAAAACAAUUGAGACACCUUGUAGCAGGGGCUAACUCUUUGUCUUUUAUAUCAAAAAUAAAGAAAUGAGCUCUCUCUACAAUCCAACUGCAUAAGAACAAUAAGCCAAUCAUUUUGUGGCUCCCAUAAUACCUUAUUUAAUUCUCUCUCUCUCUCUCUCUACCCCUGUAAGAUGACAUGAAUAUAAAUCUUAGCAUCAUGUGCCCAAGUUGAACAUCUUUGAUUUCGAAGAUUUUACUCGAAAUGAAACUAGAAAUAGUAACACUUUUGUACUUCUUGUACCUUGCCACACCAUGUCUCGCCUUUGCGAACGAGGCCAAGCGCCUCGUCGAGUUCUCCAGAACAAGAAGGUCGAUGAAUCAUCCUCGAGAUGAUGCAUCGGAGAAUAUUUACAAUUACACAAACUUGUCGGCAUAUGUCGGUUCACAAGAUGGCCUCAGAGAGACAGAUAAGAUUACCGCAUUGCCCGGGCAACCUAAUAAGGAAGCGGAAUUUGAUCAGUAUGCCGGAUAUGUGACGGUGGAUGCGAAAGCCGGGAGGGCACUUUUCUACUACUUUGUGGAGGCUCUUCAUGAUCCUUCAAAUAAACCUUUAGUUUUAUGGCUUAAUGGAGGUACAAAAUUACUUUUGUCGGUACUUCGUCUUUAGCCGUCCUUGAUCGAUUUGUUUUGUAACCUUAGAGUUAUAGGUUCUCGUUUUCUCGACUGUAAAACAUCGUAUCUAACAACACGAACUUUUAGAGAAAUCGGUUGUUCGGUGAAUUUGUGUUGUCUAAAUUUGACUCAAAAUUUCAGGGCCCGGGUGCUCGUCUUUGGGAGGUGGAGCAAUGCUAGAACUUGGACCCUUCUUUGUUAACCCCAAUGGCAAAACACUCUACAAGAAUAAUUAUGCAUGGAAUAAUGGUUAAGUGCCUUCUCAACUUAAAAGAGAAAAAGUUUUCAUUCAAACUCCUUAAUUCGAAGUUUCAGUAGUUUCUGCUUCUUGAAAUAGAGAAGUUGACGCUGACUAUUACUUCUUCGUCACGAAUGGCGUGCAGUGGCAAACAUGCUAUUCCUUGAGAGCCCGGCCGGUGUUGGCUACUCAUACUCCAACACCACUUCGGAUUACGACAACACGGGAGACCAGAGGACCGCCGGGGAUGCCUACACCUUUCUCAUCAAUUGGCUUGAGAGGUUCCCCGAGUACAAGAGCCGCGAUUUCUUCAUUACCGGAGAGAGCUACGGCGGGCACUACGUACCGGAGCUCGCGAAUGUUAUUGUCACCAACAACGGAUUUGCUAACACGACUGCCAUCAAGCUUAAAGGAGUUGCUGUAAGUGUUCUGGUUUUGAGACAUACAGAAGCCAAAUCAUAUCACCUCUCUCAACUUUCGCCCACGUUAGCAAUAUAAAGAUAAGAACAUAAGCUCGAUAUCCAAAUUUGCAGAUCGGAAAUGCGUUGUUGGAUUGGGACACAAACGAUAAGGGGACCGUCGACUACUUCUGGACCCAUGCCUUGAUUUCUAAGAGCACCCACGAAGCGAUUCAGAGAUACUGCAGUUUCAACGGGACGUAUUCGAACGACUGCGAAAAUGCCCUAUCUUUAACUGUAUAUGAAAGAGGAGACAUUGAUGACUACAACAUCUACGCACCUCAGUGCGUCGAUGGUUCCAAUUCUUCGCAAUUAAAGGACUCGGUAUACAGCAAUAUACAUAUAGAACUUAACAAAGUUACAUAGAUAUAUAACUUAUCAAGUGUCUAUAGUGGCAGGUGUCGCUAGGCGAUCCUUGUUCCCCGAACUAUGUCGAAAAUUAUUUGAAUCUUCCUGACGUGCAAAGGGCUCUUCACGCAAACACUACACGCUUGAACUACCCAUGGAUAGAUUGCAGGUAUAACAAUGAUCUCCAUAAUAUGAACUCUCAAAUUCAAAUGUACAAAGUUCGAAUAUUGCAGGAUAAGCUUAUUCUUUUCCACGACUUUUUUAAUGUCUAUUGAGGUUUAUUUUGACGUUUAGUAGCUUCGCUUUUGUGUGAUAAUAGCCUUGAUGCUAUUCAAUUCUCGAUCAUCUCAAGUACAUGCUAAUCAGGACUUGAAUUUUAUGGAACAGUGAUAUUGUGAAUGGUGGAAAUUGGAAAGAUGCGCCAGCAUCUAUGCUACCAUCAAUUAAGCGACUCAUCGCAAACGGCGUAAGAACAUGGUUAUACAGGCAAGGACACAAAACAUUGCAGAAUUUUUGAAAUGCUAACCUUUAUAAGUCGCAGGAUGAAUCUGAAAACUACUCUUUUGCAGUGGCGACAUUGAUUCGGUCUGUCCGGUUACUUCGACACAGUACUCACUAGACAUUCUUGGACUUCCCAUAGAGGCAUCUUGGCGGCCAUGGUACAGCGACAUUGAAGAGGUACAACGCUCUUCGCUGCACUCUAUCAAUAAACAUUCAUGCUCUACCUAGUAAGACUACAUCAGGUUCCAAAAUAGGCACCAGAAUUCGAAAACUUUUGUUGUAUGAUUUAAGCAGUAUAUUCUGUAACAUUACAGAAUACUCCUUUCUUAAAUUAUCUAAAUUUUUUACCAAACCUGAUAGAUUUAUUAUCCGAAACCAGAAACAAAGAAAAGUCGAGAUUCUAAACUUGAAAAAAAAAUUUUAAGUUCAACUGCGCACUUCAAAAUGCGCAGUAUUUUAGUUAAGAUAUGUAAGUUCCUUUUCUCCUUUUAAUUGCAGGUCGGCGGCUACGUUGUCGGAUACAAAGGCCUAGUGUUUGCGACAGUCAGAGGAGCCGGUCACAUGGUUCCACGCUACCAACCAAAGAGAGCACUAACCUUGUUCUCGUCAUUCCUUCAAGGGAAACUUCCCCCGGAAGACGUAUCGAUAAAUUGAACAUCGGUUCUCCUUGUUCGCUUCCCAACCAAGAUCACAAUGUGGGUCAUUGUGUCAUUUAUUUUUCUUUUGGGGUGAUAAUGUAUGGUGAACUAAGAAAAUGCUAAAGAAUAAAAGUUUGAAAAUGUUAGUUUUGACAAUUAUGUAUCGGAACAAAAGUCCGAAAAUUUGCGUCAGAUGUAAGAGUUCUUAUUCAACAUGAGUAGUAAAACUCAUAUGUUUAGCUCUAUAAUUUCAGUGUAAGAUGUUGUAAUUAGGCCAAAUGUUCCUAUUUGACCCAGGAACAUUUAGCAACAGCACAUGCUAUGAUUCAAUAUCAGUUCCGCGCCAUCUUUUAUCGAGUAAAGUUGACUCUCCAUGAAUCAAAAAAAAAAUUUGAGUCAGAAUAUGGAAAUGUAAAAGAGUGCCUUGAUCCAUUGAUGUUGACCAAGAAUACAACAUUGUGCUCGAGAUGAGAUACUCGCAAUGUUCUGUUUCGUGAUUAAAAUUUAGAAAACAAGUGUCUGUUUAUCCAAAUCAAACAGUGACUCCUAAUGAUAGAUUCGCAUUGUAAUCAGUGAAUUAGUAAUUAGAUAAUUUGCGGCAGUAUAUGCCCACAGUAAGAUACUAUAUUUGAACCAUUAUGAAACUUUGAUGCAUAAAAGAGAAAUAAGGAAAUACGAUUGCUUUAAUAAAUUUUAUCCACACCCUACAAAGAGUAGAGUCGGUGGUGAAACAGCUACUGUUGCCGAAUUCUUCAGAAGGUCUCUGACCGCAAAGCCCGGUAACGAAGGGGCUUACGCCGCCGACUUUGUGCAAAAUCGGUGGCAACCGUCGCAUAGAUAUAAUACGGCGACGAGACUCCAAAACGUCGCCGACUUCUAGCUUUGGAUUCUAAUAUGGGAUCCGUGUCCGAAUGGGGUUCGAAACCUAUCCAUUUGGAUUUACUAAUUCCUCAAUAAGUCGAAAAUUAUCCAUGGAUCUGAUGCUAAAUUUUUUGAUUUUUUUUGUUUUUGUUUUUUUUUUUCCCAGUGACAUGACUUUUUUCGGGUUAGGAUUUUAUCGGGUUUCGGGUUCAACCUUCUUUUUGCUCGUAUCGAUUUCAUCUCCCUCUUUCUCCUAUCGCCUCUACGGCCACUCCCCGUCGACACCGCCACUUCAUUGUUUCUAGGGUUUAUGCUUCUCUCUCUUCCUCCCACCGACAUGAACCCCCUGUAAUCCCCAUUAACAUAAACCCUAGCCCUAACUCCCCCUCCUCCUCCUCCUCCUCCUCCUCCUCGCUCUCCUUCCGUAUCAGCAACCCCUCCUCCUUGGUACUCCACCACCUCCAACCAUGCCGAAGGUCUACGGCACCGGAAUCUACGACUUUCGCCGCCACCGCGUCGCCGAGUACCCCGUCGAGCUCGUCGGCGGCGCCAGGGAGGAGCCGCCGCCGGCGGAGAAGCAGCCGGAUCAGCGCCCCGGCGGCGCCGUCUCCGGCUCCAUCACCCUCGUCGAGAUACAGCGCGACCGCCUCACGAAGAUCGCCGCCGCCAACUGGGGCAAGUCCUCCGGGGGCCGGAACUUCGACCCCGAGCUCGUGAGGGAGAUCUACGAGACCGAGCUUAGGGUUUCGGGCACCGGGCGUAAGACGGUCCCUCUCCAUAGGGUCAUGAUCCUAGAAGUGAGCCAGUACUUGGAGAACUAUCUCUGGCCUAAUUUCGAUCCCGAGACCGCCACCUUCGAGCACGUCAUGUCGAUGAUUCUCAUGGUUAAUGAGAAGGUAUAUGUUUGGGAUGACGAUGGUGUUGAUUUGCAUGUGUGUAGGAGUAAUUUGAAAAUUUUGCUGUUUUAUUGAUUUGUUCACUGUUUCGUUUUGAUUGUGAAGUUUCGGGAGAAUGUAGCUGCGUGGAUUUGCUUCUACGACCGGAAGGAGGCAUUCAAAGGGUUCUUAUUGCGGGUCCUUCGGCUCAGAGAAGAGGUUCGGUGUGUUGACUCCUUUGCUAUAUGUUGAUUCGGAUGUUUGAAUAGAGAAAUCAAAAUUACAUGGGAGCAUUUUGCUCUUUUACUGUCUCUUGUACAUAUUGUCCUGUAUGUUUGGUGGGUUUACUCCUUUGCUUUAUGUUGAUUCGGAUGUUUGAAUAGAGAAAUCAAAAUUAUAUGGGAGCAUUUUGCUCUUUUACUAUCUCUUGUGCAUAUUUCUCCUGUAUGUAUAUGCUGUGGCUGUGUGAUAUGACUAUAUGUAGUUGAGCUUUUGGUUUUGAAAAUAUUCUGCUUCUUGGUCAUUUAUGUCCUUGAACUUUUGUUUUAUCCACUGUAGGUUCUAUUUUCCUUUUCUUUAGAAAAUUGCAAAUCUGUCACUUUUUUAUUUAUUUAUUUUUUUUACCGCUUAACACUUGAUUGCAUUUUUGUCAUGUUUUUUGUAGGAAAGAACUUUAAGCAUGGCAGAGAAGACGAAUUACCUACUUUUCUUGAUAAAUGCCUUCCAGGUAUGUCAACAAUACUGAUCGAAUCACUAAAUAAUGGUAAAACUGAUGUUCGUUUGGUAAAAGUGUUACUUCAUAUUUUUUAUUUUGUCAAACUGUCGAGCUUUCACUCUUUGCUUUGCUGUUUUCAAUUGAUACACAAGUUUUUUUUUUGUUGCAGAGUCUGGAGGAUGAGAUUGUUAGUGAAACUGUUCUCCAGUUAGUAAGCCUCCGGUUGUGGCACAGUCUCUCGUUUGGUCGAUUUCAGGUGACAUUUGCAUCAUUUGCUCUGUAGCUAGUCUUAGUCAAUUUGCUCUAGCUAUUUCUAGAUGGCUUAUCUAUUUGUUUCAAAAUUUCAACAGAUGGAGUUAUGCCAAAAUCCACAUUUAAUUAAGAAAUGGAAAAAGAUGACCAAGAAAGAAGCAAAAGCCAAGAAAGGCGGUCAAGUAGUUGACCCUUCAAAGGUCCUUGAAGUAAAGUUCCUAAGGGAUCUAAUUGACGAGUUUUUAGAGGUAUCCACUCCAUAGGCUUUUUCUGACGAGUACAUUUAAAUUUUAUGUUGAUGUCCUUUUGCUGAAUUCUUUUUCCUGGCAUGCGAUGUCAGAUUCUUGAUUCCAGUGUCAUCCUAUUGAAGCUUGAUGAUAAUGAAGGAAACCAACCCGGUGAUUCAUCUUCUGAGCAAGUUGACGAUUCUUGUGUUCUAUAUUGCGAGAGAUUUACUGAAUUCUUGAUUGAUUUGUUGAGCCAACUGCCAACUAGGAGGUAGCUACAUAACUUUUGUUGUUUAUAACUAUGUUUAAUUGUAUUAAUUAUUUCAGAAUUGAAGUAAAAUUCUUAAUUGUUUAUGUUGAUUAGAAAAUAUAUUUGAUCUUUUGAUUGGAAACUUGAAUAGUUUUAUGCUGCAUUUCAGUGGGCCUACCCUCUCAUGCCUGUUGGUUUGCAUUUGAGCUCUUGGAAAUAUCCAUGAUUGAUUUAUUUUCUUUUUUACGUGGCCAUCACACAGAGAAAGCUUUAGCAUGCGAUUUCUGUAGGGAUAUAGCUAUUCUUAUGAACAUGUAGCACCUUAGAUCUAUGGUUGAAUUGCUAUAGUUAUGUAAUUUUCCAGAUGAGGAUCAAUUAGUUUGCUGUUAACGAAAUAUGCAAGGUGUUGUUUUUUUUUCCUUUUUCCUUUUCUUUUGUCAAUAAUGGCAUUAGCAGAGCCUUAGCUUCUGGAAAAUAAGGGCUAUCCUAUGAAAUUUGUUCUCUGUCAUCUCUGCAGCAAUCAGUGUUCUUUGAGAAGAUUUCCUUCCUUUCCUUCUCAUGGUGCCUUCUACUUGAACUAAAUAACCUCUUUUUUCUACUGUACUAAGUUUCAUGUUGCUUUAUGCAGUAGGUUGUUUAUCUAUUGCUUGAUUUUGCAUAAUAAUGUUGCUUGCAUAGGCAUGUUGUUUUCCAAUUUGCUUUAUUAAGUGUUCAGCGACACCUUUGCAUGGGAACUUGAUUUUGCAUAAUAAUGUUCCUUGCAUAGGCAUAUUGUCUUCCAAUUUUCUUUAUUAAGUGUUCAGCGACGCCUUUGCAUGGGAACAUGUUAACAUUGUUGUCAGUAUUGGUAUGCUCAAGUAUAUUUUUUUAUGUGCUAUUCAGUAUGGAGUCAGUAUUUUGUGCUUUUCCUGUAUUAUUCUUUAUCUUUUUAAGCCCUUGUUACGUUUUCAUUGUCUUCUAACAAGUGGAUCUCCUGGUAUUUGUGACCAUUAAAAUAUGUUAUCCAUGAUUUGCAGAUUCUUAAAGCCUGUAAUUGCUGACGCUGCUGUUGUUGCUAAAUGUCACUUAAGUGCACUUUACACGCAUGAAAAGGGACGCCUUUUUGCUCAGCUGGUGGACCUUCUACAAUUUUAUGAAGGUUUUGAGAUUGAUGAUCAUUUUGGAACACAACUUAAUGAUGAUGAUAUUUUGCUUGCUCAUUACUCUCGUCUUCAAGCUUUUCAACUAUUGGCAUUUAAACAAGUACCUAAGGUGUGUCCAGCUGGUCUUUGUCACGCUUGCUCUCAAUAUCCGAAUUUCAAUACCUCCAUAUUUUUAAUAGAAUACUUAUUUUAUUUUUCUAUUACUAUAGUUGCGAGAUUUUGCUUUGUGCAAUAUUGGUUCAAUCCACAAGCGUGCUGAUUUAUCCAAGAAGUUAUCAGUUUUAUCAGACGAUGAACUGCGGGAGUUGGUGUGCAAUAAGGUGGGUAACACCAAAUAUGUUAAUGGCUUAAUUCUGUUGAUUGAUUGUUCACCCUUUUUCUUCUUUUCUCUUGCAAAGUUUUCUCUUUUCUCUUGCAAAGUUUUCAGUGACUCGAAUUUGAUUUAUCAUAGUGAUACCAAGUUGUAUUGGUGUUUACUUGUCAUCUUUUCCAGUGUUUUAUUUGUUUUAGCCAAAUCAAUAUAAUUCAUAGUUUAUUGUAUAUGAAUCACGAAAAUUGUUAUGAAAUCUGUGACUUGAAGUUAAGUAGAAAAGCAACACAUUCUGUGUUCUGUUUUUUACUAUGAGAUGGAAGUUCUACUAUUUUAAGAGUCAGAAAUUUUAUCCAAAGAGAAGACCUUUGCAGUAAUGUACACACAUAUAUAUUUUCACCAUGUUCUUGUGGUAUACUGGUUUGUAUUGCAUCAGUCAACUGCAUUAAUUGAAAGCAAUAUUUACUUAUUCUUUUGGAGUCUAUCAGAGCUUAUCUACAUGUUUGGAACCAUUUUUAUCAAACUUUUCCUUUUCUUGCUGCUAACCUUUUUCAUCAUUAACAGCUUAAACUAGUUUCAGAUGACGAUCCAGGCAGUACAAGGCGUGAUUUCCUCAUUGAGGUGGUAGUCUCCUUCUUUGAGAAGCGCCAGUCCCAAAAAGAAGCCAUAAAUGCGCUCCCUCUUUACCCAAACGAACAGAUAAUGUGGGAUGAGAGCGUCGUCCCAAGUAUCAACUACUCCGGCGAGGGCUGCCUCGCGCUCCCUAAACUCAACCUCCAGUUCCUAACCCUCCAUGAUUAUUUACUUCGAAACUUCAAUCUCUUCCGCCUUGAAUCCACAUACGAAAUCCGUGAGGAUAUCCAAGAAGCCGUUCCUCACCUCCUUGCAUACAUCAAUAAUGAGGGAGAAACUGCUUUUCGUGGUUGGUCAAGAAUGGCUGUGCCAAUCAAGCAGUUCAAGAUCGCCGAAGUGAAGCAGCCGAACGUUGGAGAAGUCAAGCCGUCAUCGGUAACAGCUGAAGUCACUUUCAGCAUAACGAGUUACAGAGCGCAGGUAAGAUCAGAAUGGGAUGCUCUGAAAGAACACGAUGUCUUGUUUUUAUUGUCGAUUCGCCCAUCUUUUGAGCCAUUAAGCCCAGAAGAAGCCGCUAAAUCAACUGUGCCUGAAAGACUCGGACUUCAGUAUGUACGCGGAUGCGAAGUAAUUGAGAUCCGCGAUGAAGAAGGAGUACUUAUGAAUGAUUUUACUGGAAGAAUUAAAAGAGAUGAAUGGAAGCCCCCUAAAGGUGACAUCCGUACUGUUACUGUUGCCCUAGAUACAGCACAGUACCACAUUGAUGAUACUGAGAAAGCUGAAAAAGGAGGUGAAGAUGUAUAUAGAACAUUCAACAUUUUAAUGAGGAGGAAACCCAAGGAGAAUAAUUUUAAAGCUAUUUUAGAAUCUAUACGUGACCUUAUGAAUGAAACAUGCAUAGUUCCUGAGUGGUUGCACAACAUAUUUUUGGGUUACGGAAAUCCAUCUGCUGCACAGUGGACUAACAUGCCGGACCUUUUGGACAUGAUAGACUUCAAGGACACUUUUCUUGAUGCUGAUCAUCUAAGAGAAAGCUUUCCGAAUUAUGAGGUGAAACUUUAUAUUGCAUCAAAUUUUACUUCUUGUUUUGUUGAGCUCCUGAAAAGAACUUCCUUAUUGAGAAGCGGAAGUUUGAUAAUUUCAAUAAAACAUCUGAAGCUUCUGAUUGAAGGCCCAAACUAAGCUUUUUGGGCCCUAACUUCCAAAUGCUUUGAUUUGAAAUUUCUGCUUCUUGCUUUAGCUGGGAGCCAUUAGGGCUUCUUUGAACAUCACCACUCAAACAUCGCUCUAGUCUGGCUAAUCAGGCCCUUAAUUGUUUUUCUACGUUUAAUAUGAGUUUCUAACAGUUUUCUUUUAUAUGUAGGUUUCCUUUGUCAAUCCAGAUGGUACCGAGAGCCUGCACCCUAAACCUCCUUUCCGGAUUAGGCUUCCCAAAUCAAUGAAAGGAAAUUCUCUUGCUCUUCCAGGCAGUAUUAAGUCAAGUGACAUAAAUAUUAUGGAUGAGAAAAAGGCUGAUCAAAGCUCCCAAGAGGAAAAGCUGAUAGUUGAGGCAUAUCUUCCUGCUGAUCCAGGCCCGUAUCCUCAAGAUAAACCGAAGCAAAACACAGUCAGAUUUACUCCUACUCAGGUACUUGGCAAAAUUUCUUUUCAUUGUCCGCUAGUUGAAACACAUGAAUGCAUAUUCUAAAUUUUCUGUAAUGCUAAAAAUCUGUGGACAUGUGGAAAAGCUGGUAGUUGUUCAAGCAUAAAGGCAUCUUUAUGCUUGCUAGGCGUAACUGAAGUUUCCGCAAAGAUGAAAGAUUGAUUUGCACUUCAUGCACCAUUACUAUAAAAUGUUUUUUUUUUUUUUUUUGGGGGUGUUAUUCUACCUAUGCAGCUAGGCCUAAAAUGGAUGAUGGUUAUCAAUCUGGGAAGAAAUUUCCCUAACAACUUGUGAUUUUAUGCUGAUCAUGUCCUUCUGUUUUCCAGAUUGGAGCUAUUAUUUCGGGAAUUCAGCCUGGGUUAACUAUGGUUGUUGGACCACCUGGUACAGGGAAGACUGAUACAGCAGUGCAGAUUUUGAAUGUUCUCUAUCAUAAUUGCCCUUCCCAGAGAACACUAAUCAUCACGCAUUCGAACCAGGCUUUAAAUGAUCUUUUUGAGAAAAUAAUGCAGGUAACAUCAUUUUAUAGUAAUAUGCUAAUGUUAUUUCUUUUCUAUUACUAUAUUCUUUUACUUCAUGAGUAGUUUUUUCCUCCUCUACUUGAUCUUUAUAUUUCCCUUUUAUCGCCAAUUCAGUGUCACUCAUUUUAAUCCUGUAUUCUCUUUUCAGAGAGACGUACCUGCCAGAUACCUCCUCCGCCUCGGUCAAGGAGAACAGGAGCUUGCAACUGAUCUUGAUUUCAGCCGACAGGGCCGCGUGAAUGCCAUGCUUGUCCGACGAUUAGAACUCCUUAGUGAAGUUGAAAGACUUGCCAGAUCACUUCACUUACCCGAAGAUGUAGGCUACACUUGUGAAACUGCUGGAUACUUUUGGCUGCUUCAUGUCUACUCCCGUUGGGAACAAUUUCUUGUUGCCUGUGCCCAAAAUCAAGAUAAACCAACUUUCGUUAAAGACCGAUUCCCAUUUUCGGAAUUUUUCGCAAACACUCCCCAACCAGUUUUCACUGGUGAAUCAUUCAAGAAAGACAUGCAUGCGGCACAAGGGUGUUUCCGACACCUGUCUACUAUGUUUCAAGAGCUUGAAGAGUGCAGGGCUUUUGAGUUGCUUAAAUCAACAGCUGAUCGGGCCAAUUAUUUAAUGACUAAACAAGCCAAGAUUGUUGCGAUGACCUGCACUCAUGCUGCUCUAAAAAGGAGGGACUUUCUUCAGUUGGGCUUUAAGUAUGACAAUUUGCUUAUGGAGGAAAGCGCACAAAUAUUAGAAAUCGAGACUUUUAUACCCAUGUUGUUACAGAGGCAGGAGGAUGGUUACGCUCGGCUAAAACGAUGUAUAUUAAUUGGGGAUCAUCAUCAGUUGCCCCCUGUUGUGAAAAACAUGGCUUUUCAGAAGUAUAGUCAUAUGGAUCAAAGCUUGUUCACUAGGUUCGUUCGUCUCGGUGUGCCUUAUAUUGAACUGAAUGCACAGGGUCGAGCUCGACCAAGUAUAGCCAAGCUUUAUAACUGGCGAUACAGGGAGUUGGGGGAUCUUCCUUAUGUUCUUCAAGAGCCUAUUUUCCACAAGGCUAAUGCUGGGUUCUCUUAUGAGUAUCAGCUGAUAGAUGUUCCUGAUUAUCUUGGAAAGGGUGAGACUGCUCCUUCUCCCUGGUUCUAUCAGAAUGUAGGAGAGGCCGAAUACGUUGUGAGUGUUUACAUGUACAUGCGCUCAAUUGGGUAUCCCGCCAGCAGGAUCUCUAUUUUGACAACAUACAAUGGCCAAAAGCUGCUUAUCCGUGAUGUUGUGAAUAGGCGGUGCAAAGCAUAUGGGAUCGAACCACCUAGCAAGGUAUGCUUAAACAUGAUGUGCCUGAUUGGCUUGGCUUCUAUAGUGACUUCUUUACUCCAGAAGGCAAAAGCUUUAGGAGCCAGGUGCUUGGCAAGCAAAGGUAUAGGAGUUUUUCCUUUGUUGUGAAGCUACAAAGGAAGAAGCCCCAAUCUGAAGCUUUUGCUUUUUGAAAGUUAUCAGUGCUUCUUUAAGAAGCUUUAGGACAGGCAGCUUUUCUGCAGAAGCUAUUACUUUUUUGUAUCCUUAAACACAUGCCUCUAUGCCCAAUAAUAUUCACUUUUUUUGCUCUUUUAUUUAAACCGAUUUAAUUGCACAAUCUAUUUCCGAACAGGUGGCAACAGUCGAUAAGUUCCAAGGCCAACAAAAUGAUUUCAUCCUUCUGUCUCUUGUCCGAACCCGAUUUGUGGGCCAUCUCCGUGAUGUCAGGAGACUUGUCGUUGCAAUGUCUCGUGCACGUUUGGGCCUUUACAUAUUCUGCCGGCGUUCACUGUACGAGCAAUGCUAUGAGCUGCAGCCGACGUUUCAGCUUCUGCUUCAGAGACCGGAUCAACUGUGUCUGAAUCUAGACGAAACCACUCCAUUCACAGAACGCCUGGUUGGAGACACAGGGAAUGUUCAUGUGAUAACUGGGGUCCAGGAUAUGGAGCAGUUAGUUAAUUUCAGGAUGCAUCAGCUUUACCAGGUAUGUUAUCUUUCCAACUUAUGAAAAACAAGGAUGCAUUUAUCUCCCAGGAGGCAUUCACAUAUAUGCCCCUAUGAAAUUAUCUUCCAUAUGGAGUCUGAUUUUUCAUGCAUUCCCUUCAGAAACUAAGGUUUGUACACAUUACCAUUAUCGUUACAAAAUAAUUCCUCUAAGAAAGUAGAACCAACUUUACUACAAAUUGUUUGAGUCCCUAACUUAAGAUAAAGCUUUUUUUUUUUUAAAGAAGCUGCCUUUAAUGGGGUAUACAUGAAAAUUCCAAGUGUAGAUGAACUGAUUUUGCUGGGUUAUAGAUGUGCAAGCCCUUGAUUUGUAUGACUUUUGUGUCACUUGGCAGCAACCCGACAUGUGGCUAAUUCAUAUGACAUCUUCUUUGCUACAGAUGCAAGUCAUGAACCAACACGCCUCUUUCGAGAGAUCUUCAAAUGCAAAUGGAUCUCAAAUUUUGCCCUCUACUGACCGUGUAGAGGAUACCGAUAUGCCUCUUGCAAAUGGUGAAUCUGAUAACGGGCCACCCGAAAUUAGUCGAAAUGAUGCAGAGAUGAUGGAACAAUAAUGAUGAAGACAAUGGUUCCGCAAAUUCUUUGAUAUAACAUGAAAGGAGGCUGUGAACUCUUCUCGAGUGCCCUGUGUACAAGGAGUCCACUACCUAAGGACGUAAAUAGCCAAUUACUAAGGACAUAAAGAGCCAAUUACUAAUGCAUUGAAAAAUAUCACACUAUGGGUACUUUAGUAGAGGUGAUUGUCCCUCCAAAUGUGUAAGGGGAUGUUACAAUUCUGGCAUAUAGUGAUUGAAGAAGAGCAUCGGCCUCUUGUAUUAUUUUAGCACCUGGAGGUUUACAACGGGAACGAUUAAGAGUAAAAUAUGCAGUCUUUCUGACGAGCUUGCAUUGUAAGUUCACCUCCAUAGAAGCUGCUUCAGUUUAUGGCUUCUCAUUCAGCUUCCCACUUGUUUUAUCACUAUCACUGGAGCGAAAUUGGUGAAGGGUGCAUUUUACAGCCAAAAGGUGGAAACCUUUAUUGUUUUCAUGGUGAAAUUUAACGUCGGAUUAGCAAAUGUGACUUGGUGGUUUUUUGUAGUACUUGUAAUAUAUGUAUCCUGCUUAUGGAGAGGAAUAUUUAGAGCAAAUAGCUUCUUUUGCAUAUAAUAAAACAUCUACUCUGAAAUGAAGCCAUUAUGUGCUGGAUGUUGUUCGACUGUAGGAUGUGUGCCGUCUUUUCUCUGAAGAAGCUUUAUUGCUGUUUCUCAGUCUCGAUGUGAAAUGCUAAGAGCCUGUGCUUCUGAUUCUACUGUAGUAACAAUACGAUACGAGUAUUUUUAAUAUAAUGCUUUUGUAAUAAGUUGUUUAACCGUUGCUUAAUCAUGUAAUGCUGCACCAUCCUGCAGAGUCAUAUAGGUUGAAUUUGUUUGCUUCUUGAAAGGGUAAAUGGAAAGAAGCAAGCAUGAGUUUGAAAUGAUCAAGCAGGAGUGGAUGUAAGAUCAAGAUAUGAUCAUACAAGGUGUGUAUUGUCCUUUCAAAUAAACUGGUUGAGAGAAUAGUGACCAAAAUUUGCACUCUCAGGUGCAGCUCUAUGUUCCAUGUUUCCUGCAUUUAUUUUACCAUCAAUAUGGACUUUUUAGAAUACCGCUGAUGUGCUCGCAAUUUCGAUGCUGAUAUUUCAUACAUAAAUGAAACUUCAACAAUAAGGACUCGCCCAUUGGCAAGAUUAGGAGUGCCUGUAAAAUGUCCAAACCAGUUACACUCCAAGUCCUCAGACAUCUACAAAACAUACUUGGUUUCAUUUUGUCGCGGUCGCGUACAAAAUAGGUUGGUACGUAGUAAGGUGUAGACUCAUUGAUUGCAUAGCUGCUGCGUUUUAUGGCAACUCCUUUUAUUAUUCUUCUAUUUAUUCCCUCAACUUUUCCCAUUUAUUCCACCCCUAUAUCUCAGUCCAAAUGUGCAGCAUAAGUUUGGGACUCUACGCGAACUUUAUAGUCUUCUUGUCCUACAUGUAGUCGAGAGGUUGCGUCAACUCCUCUGUUUUUUUUAACCCCCCUAUUAUGUGACUUAGCUUGAUGCAAGAAUAUUCCAGGUCCGGAGCCAAAACAGAGCACUGGUGAGUCACAGACUCAAAGUUUGCUUUGGCCAAUGCCCAUGUUCGGCCUGGGCUCCCGUGCCGUCAGCCGCCGCGGUUUACUAUAUACUCUGUAUCGCCUGCCGCCGCGGUCGCCAAUAGCUUGGAAAUAGUUUUUCCGCGGAUGGCAGUGUUCUACGUGCGCUUUAAAAUUAAUGAGAACAUAAUCUAGCGUAAUAUCUGAGUUACCGGUGCUUAUCGCGUUUUGCACGGCAUUCACCGGCCGGUCAUUUGUUAGUACGUUCUUCAACUCUAAUAUCGAUUUGUGGCCACAAUCACUUUCCCUUGCAUCCCACGCCCACUGAUGGUCAGCGGACUUAAAUCCUCACACCAUACUGGGUCUGCUUGAACGCAUGAAUAUUUUUUUUUUUUACACAUUUUUUUACAUUUAUUUAUUCAUGGAGAUAAAUUAUAGUAAUUGGUCGAAUGGGAACACGAAAAGAUGCGAAUGAUUACACAGUCUUAGUUAUUUUUCUCAUAAUAACCAUAAAUUAUGUAGCAGGUGGAAUUGUCGUGAAAAAUUGCGAUAACGAAUCAAACUCCUAAAUUGCAAUCACAAAACAAAGGAAGUCCCUAUACCUCACAAGCUGAAAUGUGGCUAAAUAUAUUCCUCCACAUAGAAGAGCAUAGAAAAGUAGCAUUCUCUUCUCCUUAUUAUGUUGCUUUUUCUUUGCAUAACUUAAUUAUUAAGGGCCCAUGCAAUCUCCUUUUCAAUUAACAGGAUUUUUGGUGGUCAGCAAGAGACUAAAAUGGCUGCUAAGGAAUAAUUUGGGACUCCCCUCAUCUUCUUCCAACUCUUUUUUAUACGAAAAAAAAAAGACUUUCGACUUUUAUAUUAUUCACCGUUCAAUAUAAACUAUUAAAAUACUGAAACGAACGAUUAUUUCUUCUGAUACCACAGCAAUAGUACCGAAUAGUAAGCUAUUUGAACUUUUUUCUAUUUUAAUUAAGUUCACAUCUUAUGCAUACCAAAAAGCUCAAGCGACAGCGUCGAAUCUAAAACAUUGAAAAUACUAUUCUCUGACAACUUAAAUUUUUAUAUACGGACGAUUGGUAAAGAGAAAAUAAGGCUCAAAAGAUUCUAGAAAUUAUGGGUAGCACAUCCAAGCUGAUCUCUUUGGAUCUGAUAAUUACAUUUAAGUUGGGAAUUUGACCAAAAAAAAUGUCGUACAAUAAUAGCAAGCCACCAACGUGUGAAAUGUGAAAUGUAUAAUUUCCAUAAAGGACUAGUCACUUAUUCAAAGUCACAUUGCGCUUUGACAAGGACUUAAUUGGUCCCCUGUUUGUCCCCAAGUUAACAACCAAUUUUGUUCAUAAGAGUAAACUUGUAUCGAAGUAUUCACUUCAGAUGAAAUUGUGUAAUAAGUAGUUAUUAAUAUAAUAACAUAAAAACAUGCUAAAUUGGUUAGAUCAAUCAAAGGCAACUUGGCUACUUUAGAUUAAAAAAAAAAGAAAAAAAGAAAAAAAUGUAUAGAACUUACCUGAAUUAUAGUCCAUUUUUUCGAUUUUAAUGCCCACUCUUUUAGUUUGUUUUAUUUAAAGUCAUUUAACAGCUCUUUCAAUACAAAAUUUAAGUUAGUUUUUAAUAAAUUUACAUAUAUAUAUAUAUGAAUUGCAUAAAGUAUGUUAAAAUUUGAAGUUAUAAAGAGUCAUUAACCGGCUAAGAUUAAAUAAAUUAAAAUAUUGGGUUAGCAAAAUUAAAAUUUUUAUAGCUUAAGUAGUCAGCCCAAAUGAGUGAUAUUAUGCGGUAAUAUUGAUUGAUUACUCUUUUACCUGAAAAAGUUUUAGAAGUUGAUUUUUGGAACAUUUAUAAAAGUUUUUUUAGAUCUCAAAAGCAAAAGCUUGGGUCAAAUCAAUUGCUUAUAACUCUUGUUCUUGUUUGGUCCAACUUUUCUUUUUUCUUUUUUUUUUCUUUCUUUAUAGUAGAGCAUUGGACAAAUUGAAUAUUUUUGAGCUUUUAAUAUAGAAAAAUAAUUCUGAAACUUAUAAAGCAACAGAAGCUCUAGCUCAAAAUUUCUAAUUUAGCUAUUUAAAUUCUUCCAUUAAUAGAAGUAGCUAUUUAAAUUUUCUAAAACUAGAUUCUCAAUUUAGAGAAUAAAAUAUGGACUUUUUUUUUGAGGAAGGUAAUUUAUCUUGGUAAUUAAUUAAACGCUUUUUUUUUUUUUUUUUUAAUGUUUCACAGCUAGUGUACAAGGUACAAAAAUUAAGUCAAUGGUUGCAUACAUGUAUUUCACCAAUCAAUUAAAGCACUGCUUUGACCAGUCAAUGGUGACUCACCGGUCAAUUUGGGUUCGUACGUGGACCACAUUUUGGUUGUUGGUUCGAUCCAUUUGAUGCGACGCGGUCCAACGAAUUAGCGACCGCGUGGAAUUCGUGCACCACGUCAUCCGUGGACCAUAAAGAAAACCAUGGAUCCCCCCCUAUCACCCUACUUUUUGUUGAAUACACCUAUAUACUAUAUAUAAAAGAGUAAUUUUUUUUAAAAAAAAUGCACCAAAAAUUUUUAACUAUUAAUAUCAAAAUUUAAUUCUCUCAUAGCUUAAAUUUUUAGAAAUAUAAUUGAUAUUUUUAUUAUUUAAUAUAGUACCAAAAUAUGAGUGAUUUUUUGGGUCCUGCCUUUUAUUUAAAAUAAGUUUAACUCUGAUGAUUAAUUACUUAUAGUGAGUUUUAUCAGAGAGAUGUAUUUAAAUAACUUUGAGGUAAAUUAUAUAGGAUGUAGGCAUAGGAUUAAAUAAAUUAAUCUCAGUAUAUAUGUUCAAUGAUAUGGUUGCAACAAACAUGUUCAUAGUUCAACUAAUCUAACCUUCCUGGGAUGGGGAGAUAGGAAAAGAAGUUGUAAAGAGAUUUUGCUAUCUUAAUUUUUUUAUUGGUAAAAUUCCAUGUUAGAGAGAGAGAGAGAGAGAGAGAGAGAGAGAGAGAGAGAGAGAGAGGAAAAAGAGUUAUAAAAACCUUUGGCUUUCUUAAUUUUUUAUUGGUAAAAUUCCACAUGAGAGAGAGAGAGAGAGAGAGAGAGAGAGAGAGAGAGAGAGAGGGUGUGUGUGUGUGUGUGUGUGUGUGUGUGUUAUGCUGAUUGUAAUGUGAGCACUAUUGUU
rnacentral:lncRNA from 1 species